AAGUGUACAGUUCAUGUAUAUAUAUGUAUGUAUUUGAGUGCCAGUCAAAAGAUUGGGGAGGUGGUGGGCGGGCAAUGGGCAGUGGACACUUGUUGUGUCCUCCACAUGUUUUCUGCUUCAAGGCAAGCAUAUGUUCAUGAUAGGGGUGAAAGUGGUAUGGAUAUUAAUCGUCCGGAUCCGUUUUCGUAUAUGAAUCAAUCUAGAUAUGAACAAAAAUUUGAAGAUCUGAUUAAUAUCCAUAUCCGAAUCCAUAUCUAUUAGACAAUAAUGGAUAUGGAUAGACAACUAUCCCAUCUGUAUCUGAAAAUUCGAAUAUGCAUGUAAUCCUAUAAAAUUUUAUGUAGUACUUAUUAAUUUUUAAGGUAAAUAUACAACCAUAUAAACAUGUUUUUAGCUUGAUUUAUCAUCUAUUUAGUAAUAUCUUUGAUUCUGUAGUCACAAAGUUUAAUUAUCUAAGUUAUAUGCGUAAUUAUAUCCAUACUUCCGGUAUUCGAAUUGUAUCUGUAUCCGUUUAAAACAAAUAUGGAUAUGAAUUUUUACAUCUAAAUCAUAUCCGUAUUUGUAUUUGUAUUCGUCAGACAAAACAAAUAUGGAUAUGGAUAUGCUGGUAUCCAAUUUGUAUUGGAUCUGGUUUCAGCCCUAGUUCAUGAAAACAUGCAGGGAGCAGCUGCUUUUACAUGUAUGUGAAUGUUUAGUUGUGAUUAGAAUAUAGGAAUAGGUAAGUUUUUGAGUUUUGAACAACAUUCACUGCAUUGUGAUAUAAAAUAUUAGAUUUUGCUUGUCUGACCUCGCUAGCCUAUCUUCAAAUGCACCACUUUUUAUUGUCAAAUAUUCACUUUUAUGCUUCUUUGGUCCUUUACUGAGUAAAUUUACUGAUUUAGAGAUAGUUUCAUCUUUCCUUUCUGUUGCUUGUAUCUGAAAAACAUGCUGUGAUGAGUGUUGCACUUCCAUAUUCUUUAACAUUUAUAGGGCACCAAAUCAGAUGAUCGGAGCAUAGUCCAUCAUAUUACUGCUACUUCAAUUUAAAUGGAAGCUGCCUUCACUUUUCAUGUGAUGGAAUUGUAUCACUCAAUAUCAUAUCAUCAUAGCGUUUGUAGGUCUCCAAUUAUUAUAUUCAGAGAACUACUGAACGUUCAAUUUUAGGUUUGUGUAUUCAAUUUAGCAAAAUGACCACUAAACAUCAAGUAAGACAAGUUACAUUUGUUACCAUGACCAAGGUCACUAAUUUUGACAAUUAAAUGCAUGAAUUGUAGUUAUAGGACUUGAACAUAAAUUAAAAUUGGUUUCCCCAUAUAAAUGUAACAAGAUGAUAAUUCAUAAAUUUUGAGAAAAAAGAGAGUUAUGGUGACUAAAGUUGACAGAUAUUAAAGAAGUGGUCAUGCAUGAGAUCAGAAAGGUAACACUUAAAGAUGCAGAUGAUAUUGCAGCAAGUAAGGAGGAAGGAUGGAUAAAGAUAAUGGAAAAUUUGCACUAAUGCUUGAAAUGGUGGUUGAUGCUUUUAUCCAUGCUGGGCAAAGAAAGGAUUGAUGUUGAGCUAUACCAUGCCCUUGGAUCCAAAUGCAAACAUAACAAGGAACAGCAAUUUUGAAGAAGAGAAGUGAUAAGUUGGUGUCAAAAUCCUAAAUCCUAAUAAAAUAAGCUAAUCUUCUUGUUUCAGUCCUAUAGUUUGUGUUACAAGGGGGGGGGGGUGUGUGGAGGACCGGUGGGUGUGGAUCUCCAUUAAGUGCUGCAUCAAUCAUAAAUGAAGUAUGGCUUUUGAUAGCCUUUGGAAUGCCCUGGUAACUAAAUAAUCAAAACUGUGGAGAUUGAUAUGAUGAUGCUAUGUUAUUUGUUUCCUUCCUAUGUCAUUUAUGUUCUACAUAACUGAAGCUACCAAGGUGAUCAACUUAUUGGAACGUGUACAUUCAAACAUCACCUCUACCCAAAACAAAAAGUAAGAAAAAAACCCAUAAUUACCACAUCUGGCUAAGUACAAGCUCAAAUAACAAACCAAAAGAAGUUUGGGAAAGCUGACAGUGACCCAAAGCUAUGUAAUAUCUAACCCACCCCAAAAAAAGUCGCUUCCCGGGAUAAAUAGAAAUAAACUUAACAAUAGCACAUACCAUAUGAUACAAGUGUAUGUGUUUGUAGAUUAUGUGGUUUCGUAUGGUAUUUCAUGAAGUAUUAGCUUCUGUACUGUAUUAGCUCAACAUAAUAUUGCAUAGCUGAUAUUUUUAAUUGAUAUUAUUCAACUUUUGUUUAUACUGAGGUGAAGUGAUGCAUAAUUUUUUCCCUUUUCUUUUCAAGUCCAGGCUUCGUCUCACCCUCAUUCCUUCUCCUUCUUCCUUUCAUCUUGCAAAGUGCUUUCAACUUUGUUCUGGAUGAAUUUUGGAUCUUUCAUUUGGAGGUUGCAACACAGUAUUGGUUGGUAAUUAAGUCAAAAAUUUUCAUGAGAAGAAAGGAAAAGAUAAAGAAAAUUAGAUCCCAGCUUUCUGAAUGAGAACUUAUGGACAUUGAGUAAUCUGUUGACAAAUAUAGCCUUUGUUGUCUGUGUCUCAGUACAAGCAUAUUUUUAAUGAUAUUGCUUGGGAUUGUAAGUCAGGAUACAUCUCCGAAUAUUGUGCUGUUAUAACCACCAUGUGGAAAAUAACAACUUCGAUUCUAAGCUUUUUAUAGGGCUUUUAAUCCAUAACAAGCCAAGAGUUCAGUCUUUGCAUGAGAUGAAGGACUUUGUUCAUAGGGUUCCUUUCAACUUUGUCUCUUAGUUGGAUCACAAGAGCAGCACCUGUCUGAUAGGUUGACAAACUACCAAAGGACUCCUGGGUUCGACUGUUCUGCACACAUUUAUGCUUGCAGAUGAAAGUGCCGUGUGUUCCACUACCAUGAAAACCAAAUUUGUUGUUGAUGUUGAUAAUUUCGGUGUUGCAAUAAAACCUGUGUACGUAGGUUUGUAUAUAUGUAUAUACGUACCUAUAUAUGUAGGUACAUAUCGGUGAUAUCCUUGAGCCUAGGAGCAUUGUUUCUGUUAUGCUUGUGGUGUUGAUUUUAUCAUUGUAAAGUUCUUCCAAGACCAAAGAUACUGGUGAACUCUUUAGUCCUUUCUGAUUGUAGUUCAAUUUUGUGCAUCUUUAGCGAUUGCAAAAUAAGAUUCCCCACCUUUUUGCAAAACCAAAAAAAAAAAAUACGCAGAUUAAAAGCAUUUGGAAUGCUUUGAUAUUGUUUAGAAGCCAAUACCUUUUGGUGGCUGCCAGCCUAAUUGGGAUCUAGGCACCUAAACUCUAAAUUGAACUUUCCAUAACCAACUUGGCUGUAGGCCCUAUUUAGGUGGACCACUACAUGCCUGGUGAUGACUUUUGAUGAUAACUUACAUUAAAGUCCUUGUGCACCAGAAAUGCGUUCUCCAAAUUUUUGGUUCAAUUGUGAAGCUCCUAAGACAUGACUUUUUCUUCCUUUCAACCUUGAGCGAGCAAGUUCUUUGCUUAGACUGACGGAUGGAAUAUGGAAUUUUGUCAUUCUUGUGUGUUUGGAUUACAGCAACUUGUUUAUACUGCCCUUUUUUCUUUUAAUUUUGUAGGGCGGAGAAUAUGGCAAGGAAAGCUGCUGGAGAAGAGCCACUGCCCGAGGAGGAUCCAUCAAAUCCAAUCUUCAAGCCACUACCCGAGCCAUCACGCUUGGAUAGCUAUCUCAUAACAAAUCAAAUCGCCAACUACUGCAACCAGAUCAACGGGUAUGCCAAUAUAUUUACUGAUGCAGCUACUAUUGUGUCAAAGAUUGUAUCAGUUGCAAUUUUGAUGUAGUUCAGUAUUUGAUACAUGAUGUGUUAUCUUCUAGAUUUCAUCUCUAGUAGAAACUAGGAAGUUAAUCUACAUUUCAUGCAUGAGCAUGUGAAAUACACUUUUUCUGCUGCAAUGUCGCAUCUAUUUGUGCCUGAAAGCAAAUAUGCUACUCUUCUUGAUUAGUCUAAUGCUGAUGGGUAUAGAGAAAUAUAAUCCAAAGGGCAAUUUAUUAUGGAUGGACCUUGAUGCUUACAUAUAAUUGAUGACCUCUGGCUACGUUCUUGUGUUCUUUGAUACAAGGGAAUCUACCUCAACUGGCAUGGUUUAGUUUAGUGAGAAACAAUAUAUUUCAUGCAAGCAACUUCACCUGUUAAUUGGUAGUCAGGACGGGCCAUACAGGUGCUUUGCUUAUCAAUUAAGUACUGAGACUACUAAUGUAGAUUGUAGAGUGUUGAAUGCUUGUCUUGAAAAAUGACAAGUACAUGUAUAAUUGCUGGUGGAUUUUUUUUAACCCUCCAUUAAAUACAAUUGUUUUACACACUUCUGGUUAUGUCAAUUUCAGUAUUGCAACGAACUAAAUUGAGACCUCAUAUAGUUAAUAUGUUUUGGGUAGUGAAGAAGUUCAAAUAUGUCAUGGAAUACAUGGCCUACUAAGUUUCAUUUAAGGUGGAAUUGGUUUGUUAUCUUUAGUUUUUUUACGAUUGGAAAAUUAUAUAGUUCCAUAUUUAUAGGUUGCUUUCAUAAGUUCUAGCAUCCAUUUUAUUAAAAUUAUUUAUAUGAGCAGAAGGAUGCUCUAUGUGCAUGGCUUGGUGCUCUCUCCAAGUGUGGUUCUACCAGUGAUGUCACAGGCGCCAAAAGGCACGCCUUAGGCGCUCAGGCGAGGCGUCAGAAGGGGUCAUCGCCCCUUGAUGCUUCAGUCAAUACCCUUUCACUCAGGCGCCCACCUUUGGUGCCUUUUAGGGCCUUUCUCAGUGAGGCGAGGUAUUUGCCUUUAACGCCUCAAUGAACUCUACGAUUAUUUUUUUUUAAUAAUUGAAAAGUAUAAAAAAUCCUAAAAGGCCACCCAUUUAACUUCUUAGCUCUAUUACUAACAGGGGGUAAAGUGGUCAAUUAGUAUGGAAUUAGUUUUGACUUUAGUGACUUGAGGUUUUGUAAACAAAAAAAAAUUGAGAGGAAAGAGAGACUGUUCAGGACCACAGGAGAUUGUUGAGGAAAGGGAGGCAGAAGGGGACCACUUUAGGGCUGUUUAUGUUUUCUAUUUUAUUUAUGAGACUCCAUUGAUGAAUUUUAGGGUUUGUUAUGCUUUCUGUUUCAUUUAUGAAUUUAGAGCUGUCUAUGGCUUGUUAUCAUUAUAACUUUAUCUUGAACUAGUUGAGCAUUUUACUGUUUUAUAUAUAUUUUAUGUUUAAAUUGUUAAUUAUAUGGUAAUUCAUGUUACAAUAAUUAUCUCUGAUUUUUAUUCAUUUAUAUAUCAUAUUUUCUAUUUUUUUCUCCAAUUUUAGUGCCUUCACUCGGACGGGCGUUUUUCUAGCGCCUUGCGCCUCUAAGGUGCUAGACCCCUCAAGCGUCUUAAGGGCAUCUUUCAUCUUUGACUAUCUUGGGUUCUUUAGAGUAGAAAUUCUCAAGAGUAUUUUCUUUCUAUAUUAGGCAUUUGGUAAAAUUUUUUUUCUAGUUCCUCCAAAAGUUGAGAAAAGUCUAGUAGGAAAAAGCUCAAAAAGAAAAAAAAGAUCUAGUUGUUUGGACCUUUUAGGUAGAAGCUCUACUUGAGACACAUCAGUGAGCUAUUUUAAUUUUAAUGAAAAAUUUGUAAAGACCAAAAUACUGAUGGUAAUGUAAUCUAAUAUAUAUAUAUAUAUAUAUAUAUAUAUAUAUAUAUAUAUUAAAAUGGAGGCCUCUGCAUUGGCAAGGCCUCCGUUUGAUGUGUGUGGGUUUAGGAAAAAGGGAGGGAGCCACGUGGAAAAAAAAUCGCGAAGGAAAGGCAUCAUCCAAGCUUCCCUAUUCGGCUACUACCAAGACGUUCGCUUCGCUUCAUUAGCUUGAAGCCUUCCAUCUGAUUGAGACUCCUGAGGAUGGAGAACCAGAGGCUUCGUUAGCCUCAAGCCUUCCAUCCGAGUGAGACUCCUGAGGAUGGAGAACCAGAAGGAGGAAGGGGAGCAGGGUCUAAGAGGGCCCAUUAUCGUCGAUGUGGUGGCGGAGUAUGAGACCCCUGGUUGACCGCUGCCCGAAGGGCUGAUGCUGUUGCCCUAUCGACCUUCCUUGCCGACAAGUCCGCCGAAUGGGCCUCGAUGCGGAGGAUGCGGACAGUCGGAUGGCUCUAUACUUUGCAGUUGGGUUGGGUUCGAAGGAGCAUUCAGAUGCUAGCGGCGAUUGGAGUGGAUGAAGGGCCGGCGGGGGGCUAAUGCCACUGCACGUGGCGGUGGGCUAUGGGCAGGCGGCGGUGGUGCUGGCGUUGCUGGAGGUUGGGGCAUAUGUGGCGAUGGUGGACGGGCAGGGGAGAAUGGUGUUGGAGCUGGCGAGAGAGUUGUUGGCGGUGGCCUCCUUUCGUGGAGGUGCGAAGCGGAGGCCCCCUUUUGUGGAGCUUCUCCACCUCUCACCAUGACGAUGCUUGUUUGAAGAGGAAGAAUAAGAUGGAGAAGACUGGGAGGUAGGACAUGAAUAGGAUUAAGAAGAGUAAAGUUUGGAAGGAAACUGACUGGUGGAUUCUUGGAGUCAUUAACUGAUUGUCUCACUAUGAACCGAAAUAGAAAGAAAAGAAGAGCGACGAGCCAAUAACCAGGGAGCAGGAUGGAAACUUCGAGAGGCCAAAGGAGGAGCUCCGCUGUAAAGUGACGGCGCCCUCUCUUGAAACCCUAAGUGGGUGGCGGAGGAGAGGAAGAGCAGCCGCGGAAUGGGACUCUGCUCACCCAUGGAAAAAAAUGGAGGGGAGCGGAAUUAGGGAAAUUCAGGGACCCCACUCACCCACGAAAAUAGAUAAAAAAAUAUAGUAUCGAUGGGGUGAUCGAGAGCGAGAGAGUGGGGGGAAUGGUUUUGGGGGUUUUGGUGGAGCAUCAUAUAAGAAACGAAUGGGGGCUAUUUGACUAACAUUUGGCAUGUCCAACGGCAUGUGAUGUUGUAUGGACUGAUGAUUGGAUUCAAAUAAUAGAAAAAGUACACAAGAAUUUUAUAUUUAUAUUUUUUGAAAACACCAUGUAAUAGGGAAGGAUGGGAGAGAAAUAAAAUAUGUCAAAUAUAUUUACUAUUCUUAAAAAGAAUAGUCUAGAAGGCUCGGGAUAAUUUUUUAAUAAAAAAAUUGGAGAGAUUUAUGGAUAUUAUAAUGAUAAAAAUAUUAUUAAAAUGAUCUAAUAUAAUCUUAUAUAGAUAUUAAAAUACAGGUUUUUGCAUUGGUAGAGCUUUCGUCCUAGGUGAAGGCUUAAAUCUUGAACAUCUCGAAGGAGAAGAGCUCGAUCUGGAUGAGGUCCCAGCCAAGGGACUUGGCAAGACCCAUGGCAAUGGUGGUUUUGCCCGUCCUGGGCUGGAUCUUGCCUUCAGAGAUGAUGCAGACCUCCAGAGUGGAGUGGAGGUUUAGACUGUGAAUAUGCGAGUGGACGUCGAUACGCUCGAUUUGGAUGAAGUCCCGGCUAUCCGAGAGCCUCUUGAGCUCUACCAUGGUAGUGGAAAGAAAGAAGAGAGAGCGAGCUUCGGAGGUGAAGAGCAAAAUAGAGAAGAAUGAAUGCUAAUUUGAGAAAAGGAUGAGGAUUUUAAAAGAAGCUAAAUGGCAAGAGGCCCAUGCACAGAAUAUUUUUUUAUUAUUUUAAUUAUUUUUUAAAUACAUAUAAAAUAGAUAUUAAUAAAUUAAUAAAAUAAAAUACUUUUUUGAAAAAAAUUGCACCCCGUGCAUGGGGUUAUAAGCUAGUAAUAGUACAAUAAUGUAAUAAGGCAUUAAUAAUAAUACACCAUUGUAUAAGGCAUUAAUAAUAAGGCAUUAAUAAUAGUACAAUAAUGUAAUAAGGCAUUAAUAAUAAUACACCAUUGUAUAAUAGUAACAUUAGCAAUAUAAUAAAUAAUAUUAUGGUACCAUAUAUAUCAUAGUAUAAUGUAUAAUAUUAUAUAAUAUAAUCUAAUAAGACUGUCGUAUUACUAUUAGUAUAGUAGUAUUCUUAUAGUAUAUUAUAUUAUACUCUAUAUUAGAUAAUACAAUAAUUUUUUGUAUUAUUUAUUAAAAUAAUAUCAUCAUAUUAUUAUUUGUGGUCAUGCUAUAAUAUGAUAAUAUAUAAGAUUGUUAUAUUACUAGUAAUAUAAUAAAAAUAUUUUAUUAUUGUUACUAUUAUUAUGAUCAUCAUUAUCAUCACUAUAUUAUAAGAAUCUUAUUGUAGUAAUAUAUUAUAUAAUAUUAUUAUUUUGUUAUAUUUUAUAUUUAAUGUUUUUUGUAUUAUUUAGAUGAAAACAUCAAAAUAAAAUAAUAACAGUUUUUGACAGUACAAUAAUUGUACAAUUAAAAAUACUACAUGAUACAUUACAGUUGCUGUCAUAUCUUGAUACUAGAAGGACUUUCUCGAUUUGGUUACUACCGAAGUGUUAAAGUUCUACGGUACAUCAAAAAUAUAGUUAUCAAACAGUGAACAACUUUUUAUGAAAAACUCUACUAGCAAAUGCUCUACUACCGCCCUAAGAUCUGCAGAUACAAGCUCUACCACCUACGAUGCCUAGUAUCUUGUGCUCUGUCAUUUAUUCAGUAUUUUUGAUAUUCUCGGUGGUCUCAGUUUCAGCUCUUUUUUUUUUUUUUUUCUCUAGCCAAUGAUUCAAUUUUUUAUAUUCAUUCAUGUGCUACAUGGUUUGCGUAGCUGGAGCAUAAAAUUGAUGACAGUUUAGACAGGAUGUAUAUUUAAGUGAUAACUUGUUUCAGAAUUAUAUUUUUUUCUAGAUGAUGAUGACAGCUUGUAUCAAAUUAAAAUUGCAGGGUUGCUGGUCAGAGUUUCAACAGAUUAUAUCUAAUGAAGGCUUUGCAUGAUAAUUGACUGAAAGGAUGUAUAUCGUGCAUUUAGUUGAAUGAUGGUUUAAUAUUUCACAAGUUGAUCUCAUGUUCAGUGUCUUCCUCAUUUUGUAUUCCAAAAAGUAGUCUAUUGUCAGCAUUGUAAGAUGUUUUCUUCAAUUUCAGUGGCCAGAAUUUUGUAGUUGAACUAAUAGAUGUCCAUUGGAAGUGGAUGCAUAGUUUGGAUGAGUUACUGAGAACCAUGUAAAAAUUUUCCUGCCUUCAAGGUUCGCUAGGACUGAAACUUCUGACAACUUUGUGAAAUUUAGGAAACCAAAUUAUCUACUAAAAGAAAUUUACUUGUAAAAUUGCUUGCUCAGAAAUCAAGUCUUGGACAAUCACUACCGCAAACUUGCAUACAAAACCUUUGGUUGGUUGCUAAUCAGGGUAAGACCCGAUUCACAAAUUCUAUAUAUAAUUUUCAAAAGUUGGAUAAAGAAUAUGUGUGGUUAUAUGGCAUUGGACAAAAACAAAUCCAACUUGUAAAAUAUGUAUAAAAAUAUAUAAUUUUUUCGCUGAACUCCAAUAUUUGCGUGAUGAACGAUUCUUUUGCCGAACUCCAAUAUUUUCAUGAUGAACGAUUCUUUCUUGUGGUAAGAUUUAUAUUUUUCGUGUUUGUUCUGCUCUGUCUCAUUAGUAUUGUCCGGAGGACGUGGCUUUUGUUCUCUUUUUUUUUUUUCAAGAAUUGGGUAAAGCUCCUCUUGCUCUUACAAAUUACGUUGUAGCAAAAACAUGAACCUUUAUGAAAGUAAAGCCAAUACCAAAUGGUAUGACAAUAUGCACAUGAUUACAACCCUAAAUCAUCUAAAUUUGUUCCAACUACUAUUUUGGUAAUUAUUCCUACUAGGAUCUAUCUUCGUUGUUAUGACAAGUGUUUUGAACACCUUUCUCACAUUCCCGGUUAUUUUAAUAUUAGGGUUUCUGUUUUCAGAAAAAUGGAAACACUAAUUUGAAAUGCAGACUCAAGCUACUCUUAUUAUGGGGUCUCGCCAAAAUCUUGUCAACUUGUAUGACCUAUUUCAGACAUGAUCAUAUUUGGCUAGCCAAACCUUGCUAGAUGAUUUCACUCCAUGAUAUUAUUGUGUAUUGAUACCCUUCUGGGCACUGCUAAGGCGAGUGAAUUCAAAUCUUGGCCUUCUUGUUACUCUCUUCUUCACAGCAGAAUCAUUUUCCUUGAUCCUUCUUGAUAAUUCUAUGAAUUCUAUAGUGCAAGGUUGUCUGUCCAAAUGGCAGUCUUCAAAUAUACACAUUCCAAGUAAACAGAUACCAGUUUGAGAAGGGAGAGAAUAAAUCUACUUAAUGAAGUAGGGGAGGCUGAGGACAUAGAGGAGGAAGUAAGCCCAGAUGACACUGGAGAUGCCUCCGAAGAAGAAGCUAUCGGUGAACUGCGACCACCCCUCGCAGUCUGCAGUUUGUUGGUCUCCUUCUUCCGGCCUGUUAGUGUUAGAGUUGUGCUGUGGAUGGCUCAUCCUCAUUGAAUGAUGCAAUGCCAUAGAUGGUCAAGCAGAUGCUGAGGAUCGCAGUAAGACCACCAGCAGCCAGUGAUCCUGCUGUUGCUGUGUAAGGUGUGUUGCAAAGCGGACCAAUCUUGAUGAAGGGGCCGACGAGGAGGAAGCCGUGGGUCAGGCCAACCUCGAUGCCUCUGAGGAGUGGGCUCACCACCAUGCGGUAUGCCGGCAGGUUGGAGAGGUACCAGGUGAUCAGCGGGCUCGUUGUGAUCGAGUCUCAAGGCUUCCAAUGAAUGGGUCACCAUCGAUGGGCUGGAUCACUUGAAAAGUUGGCUGCCAAACUCCAAAUGUCAACUUGGACCUCUGUGAAUUUCUUAGCCAAGUAUUUUAAGUACAUUCCAAUUCUGCAGCAGCCUUUUAGGAUUCUUCUCAACAUGUUAUGACUAUAAAUGAAGAGGUUAAAGGACUUGCAAUACUUUCAAUCCAAUGGACAUUGUCUAUAGAUGAGCUUACCAGCCGUGAACUCUACCUAAACCAAUACAUGGAGGGAUAAAGGUAGUGUUUUCCGAAGUACUUCACCCUAAAUACCUAUUGGUAAAUUGGGCAAUGAUCUCACCCUCCUCCAAUGGAGGGGAUUCUAGUGUUUCCACAAUAUUUAGACUCUAUUAAGGAGUUUUCUUCUUAAGAAAUUCCUGAUAAAAGUUAAAAUAAUAAUAAUAAUAAUAAUAAUAAUAAUAAUAAUAAUAAUAAUAAUAAUAAUAAUAAUAAUAAUAAUAAUAAUAAUAGUUUGUUUAAAAUGAAAAAUUCAAAUUGUCAACCAUUGAUCUGUAAUAUCUAAAUAUUUUAAAACUUAAAAAUCAUUUAUUCUCAAAGUUUCUAAUUUCUACCUCGAGUGGAUAGAAAUGAUUUCUCAUCAAGCAAUCUAAUAAAGAGUAUCAUUAUUGUGGUCAUGAAAUCAUUUAGACUAGAUAACUAAACCAAAAUAAGUCACUUUAAUGCUGUGAAAUAAUUUUUUUUACUUUUUUCAAAAAGAAUGGCAUUUAUUACUCACCAAUCAAUCGAAUGCCAGGCUAUGUAAUGAACACCUUUAAAGCAACCACUCUAUGGUGAGUGCAUGGUAUUAUGCGGAUUACCGCUACUUGACCCAACCUCUUCUCCUUGGAUCACAGCCAAGUACCCAUAGAUAGACCCGUCGGGCGAGACCGCUUGGGACAUCAAGGGGAGGCCCGAGCACAUGAGAUUAGAUAGCACCACGAUGUCGGUCUUUAUCCAAGCUCCACUUUGGUCGGCUACUGACCCCAAGGUCGGGACCCAACUGGCAAUGUCUAGCAACUUGUGCCGCUAGUGUUCUCUCUUGCCUCUUUUUGGGGGGGAUGGAGGCCGUGAUGGAUGUCAACCGGCAGGGAAUAAAAAGGGCUUCUUCCUUUGAUUCUCUGAAGAGCCUAGAUCUAAGGGAGAAAGGUGCCAAAAGGCCAUCUUCUCUACCCAAGUAAUAACCCUCAGUAGGCAAACCUUUGGAAGCUACCCGGUCUUAGUCCCAAAUAGUUUAGGGACCACGUCGCAUCCAAUGGAAAACCUUGCGUACCACUAAAAAUGAAGUUGCUACUCUGGAGGAAAAAUUUACCAAGAUAAUUACUCUAAUUGACGAAGAAAUUGAUAGAUUCAAUGCUCAAUGGAAUCGAGCUCUGGUAGGGAAGUUUUUGGUGUAUGGAUUUCCUCUUGAUUUUAUUCCAAAGGAAAUAAAGCUGCGAUGGAACUUGGAAGGAGACCUCCGGGUCUCCUCCUUGUCUGAUGGUUUGCUGUUAUUUCUCUAUCUUUUGAUUGAAGUCAAGGAUAAAAUCUUAGAGCACGGACCAUGGUCCCUUGCUGGUCAAUUGUUAGCUUUGGAAAGUUGGAGGCCAUGUUUCCAACCUAGCUGUGCCCUAUCCAUCAGGUUAGGCUUUGGUUGCAUCUUUCAGAUCUUCCUCUCGAGCUGUAGGAAAGGGAGAUCAUCUUGAAAAUAGCUUCUACUGCAGGAACUCUUCUGUUCUUGAAUGAUUGGACAAAACCUCAUCACGCACAGGCUAUACAAGAGUUUGUAUUCUUCUAGAUAUGAUGAAGCCUAUCUGCCUGAGAGUUCGAGUCAAGGUCAAGAAUUUAUUCUUGUGGCAGCAUUUCACCUACAAAGACUUGCUGGAUAUCUAUUAUUCCUAUAGAAGGACAGAUCCCACAAUAGAAUCUUGCAUCUGUGUGAAGGAAACUGAUUUGAAUGUCAAACCAAUCUUUGGUCCCUAGAUUCGCAUGACUCGGGUACUGGUAGGUUCAUCAACCCAAGAUAAUAGAUGGUCCUCUACCCCUAUUGGUGGCUAUUCUUUUGGUACCUUGACUCAACCUAAAAAGACAGCGAAACAUCUAUUGACCAAGACCCAAACUAUAGGGGGUAUGGCUCUAGUAGUAGGUUCAUCUUCAAAGUUUUCUCUACUAUCGAUUAAGGAUGUUGAUGAGCUGCAACUAAUGGAGAUUGUGGAAGCCCCUGUAAGACAAAGACAGGAACUUUUGGAGGGUGUUGUCAAAGAAAAAAAAAGUGAUCCUCUCCAAAGAGUCCUAGUCUUAAUAAAUCUCUAGGCUCUGAUUCACCUCCUUAGACAAAAGAAUAGAGAAAACUUGCUGUUAUCAGUACCUCCAAGCAAAAAAAAUUCAUUUUGCAAAAGUUGAGGUCUGGAAGCAUUUACCAAUCCAAUCUCAAUCUGCUCAUGGGCAAGACACAAUGCAAUGGAUGCCCCAAUUAUCUACCAGUGCUGAGCUUCUAGCUUACCCCAAUAUAGACUCACCAUCCAAGGAGUCUCUUUUUGAAUAGUUGAAGCAAAAACUAGUAAGUACGGACAUAAUAUCGGAGCAAGCCAGCUCAUCCCAUCCUAGAUCUGGUGAGGAAAGCUCAGCAUCCUUAAUGGCUAGUGUUGAGCAAGGAUUAAAAAUGAUUGUUAGUGAAGUUGAGAGAGGGGAGGGAGGUGCUCCCAUUGUAUCUCAAUGAAAGUUCUAUCUUGGAAUUAUAGAGGUGCUGCCAAGUGCUCCUAUGUUAAUUAUAUGAAAUCUUUGCUUCAUCAAUACUAUCCAGAUAUCUAUUGUUUCCUUGAAACCAAACUAUCUCUUGAUGCUCUUAACCAUGUCAAAAGGAUUAUGGGGCCUCAGUGGGAGGCUUACAUGGUCCCUGGAAUAGAUCUCUCAAAGAGAACUAUUAUAACUUGGCUAAAGGAUCUUGAUCAUAUUUCUUUCACUCACUUUGAUAAACAAGUAGUCUUUGGUAUUAUUUCUCAACCAAAUAGGGCACCUUGGCUCCUGAGAGCUGUCUAUGCUAGUACAUGUGGUCUUGAGAGAAGAAAACUUUGGGCUCAGAUUCAUUCCAUCCUUUCUCUCAACUUGCCCCCUCUUCUUGUUGGAGAUUUUAAUUACAUCUAUUGCACGGAGGAUAAAAAAGGAGAUGAACCCUUCCAUCUUGAUCGUGAUAUUAAAGAAUUCAGAUCAUUCAUCCAAAAAGUAGGGCUCAUUGAUUUAGGUUUUCAAGGGCCAACCUUUACCUAGUGUAAUAAUAUGUUGGACUUUGUUAGAGUUUGGGAAUGCAUUGACAGAACUCUUGCCUCAAACCUUUGGUUAGAUGCCUUUCCAGAAUCUUUUGUUUUCCAUUUCACUCGUUUUGCAUCGGAUCAUUGUUCCUUGCUUUUUUCUAUAUUUAAGCAUGAACAAAGAAGGCCUACCCCCUUUAGGUUUGAAAAAAUUUGGCUCUCUUGUCCAGAUAUUCAAUAUGUUAUUCAAGAAGCUUGGACUUGCUCUAGUGACCAUUCUCCUCCUAUUAAACUUACUAAGUUAACGAACAGUACUGAAUAGCUCUCAAGCAUUGGAAGUGGAAGGUGGGUAACAUUUUCAAACAAGAUCAAGCUCUGUAUGACCAAAUUUAUAAUCUUCAAAUGCUUGAAUCCAAAGAUGGAUUCUUUCGAAGCAACUACACCAACAAUUAUUGGCUCUUCUUUGAAAUUACCAUCACAACCUUCUGCUCCAAAAAAUCUUUUGGAGGCAAAAGGCCCAUACCUGUUGGAUCAAGGAAAGAGAUGCUAAUACAAAAUUCUUCCACCAUUUGACCAUUUUGAGAUGAAAAAGGAAUAGAAUUCAUGUUGUCCAUAAUGACAAUGGGAAUAUGGUAGAGGACCAUCACGAUAUUUCUUCCUUAUUUCUACGCCACUUCAUAAGUAGUAGUCAACUGAUCCUAAUCUUGAUAUUCUUAAUAUCCCUAUCUUGCCUCAUCUUAUAAAUCAAGAAUAGAAUGAUUUGCUUUGCCAAACUGUUACUGUGGAGGAAAUUAAGGAAACCAUUUGGAGCUUGCACCCUGACCAAGCCCCUAGUCUAGAUGGUUUCAUUGCUUUUUUCUUUCAAUAUUUCUAGUCUACAAUCAAGAAAGAGGUAACUCUAACCAUCAAUUAUUUCUUUUAUCACAAUAUGAUGCCCGCUCCUUGCAUGGUCAGUGAUUAUCGUCCCAUAAGUCUUUGCAAUACUGUUUAUAAAAUUGUACCAAACUUUUGGCCAACCGUCUGAAGUCUAUCUUGCCAAAUCUUAUUGCCUUCGAGCAAGGUGCUUUUGUUUCAAGUAGAUGCAUCUAUAAGAAUAUCCUUCUUGUACAAAAAGUAAUGCACUCUCUUCGAAGGGUGCCUCGAACCAAAAGCUUAAUGAUACUUAAAAUUGACAUGGAGAAGACUUUCAUUAGCCUUUUCUAUUUCAGGUAAUGCAGCAAUUUGACUUUCAUGCCUGAUGAAUUCGUGCUUGUGUUGCCUCCUCUCGUUUUGCUAUUCUUGUCAAUGGAUCUCCUACCAAUUAGCUCACCUCAUCUAGAGAUCUAAAACAAGGAUGUCCUCUCUUUCCAUGCUUAUUCAUCCUUUGUUCUGAAGUAUUUUUAAUAUUUUUACACUAUGCUGUCCCAAACAAAGAGCCGAAAGCUUUUAAAAUUAGAGGCCCCAUUGUUUCUCACAUCUUCUUUGCAAAUGAUUGUAUAUUUGUCUCUAGAGCCUCUAUUCAUAAUGCAAUAUGUCUUAAAGCUAUUAUGGAAUCCUAUUGUUGCAUGCUGUCAGGUCAAGUUGUCAACUUUACUAAAUCUUAUGUCAUUUUUAGUCCUAAAACCCCUUCUAGUAUAAAAAAUAAAGUCUGCAACCUUUUUUGAGUGGGUGAAAAGGAGCGAGUUUGGAAUUAUCUUAGCAUGCCAGUUGCUGGUAACUCUCUUGUUUCAUCUGAUUUUAAUUUUCUUACGGAUAAAAUCUCUGGCAGGAUAGCUGGAUGGAAAUGGAGAGAUUUAUCAUUCGCGAGUAAGGCUACUUUACUCCAUCCUGUUCUUUCUUCUUUGCCGCUUUCUUGUAUGCCUUCAAUCCAUGUUUCUCUCACAAUACUCAAGAAUCUAGAGAAGGAAUUUCCUACUUUCCUUUGGGGGCACACAACGGAAAAGAAGAAGCUUCAUUUAAUUUCAAGGGACACCAUCUAUAUGUCUAAGAAACUUGGUGGCCUGGGCUUCACUUCUUUAAAUGUCAAAAGACAAGUCUUUCUUUGUAAAAUUGCUGCCCAAUUAAUGCUUAAUUCUGAUUCACUUUGGGCCAAAGUAGUGGUUGCCAAGUAUGGCUUUGUUGCCUCAUGGGUGAGUUAUCGAAAGCCUAAGCUUUAUUCUCCAAUUUGGAGUAAGACAUGUGCUGUUACUCCGCUCAUUCAGUAUCAAUUUAAAUGGCAAAUUGGAACUGAUCAAUCUAUUAGUAUUAUAUCUGACCCCUGAUUAUUUGAUAUACCUAUCAAGAUCUGGGCCACCCAUAUAAACAUUGACAAUAUCCACUUUGUUUAGAAGGUUUCAGACUUUAUCAAUCCUGAUCGUACCUGGAACAAGGAUCUUUUGGCAAGUGUUGUUUCCGCUGAUAUGAUGAGCUAGAUUACAAGCAUUCCUAUAGUGCAUGGCCUCUGGUCUGAUCAUCUUAUUUUGUCCCAUACUAGCCCUUCUUCUCCUUCUCUACAGGAUUUCUAUUCCUUGACUGCUCCCUCUCAGCAGGAAAAUAUUAACAUAGAUUUUAUCUGGGUCUGGAGAUUGCAAGUUCCUGCAAGGACGAGAACUUUCUGGUGGAAACUUCUUAAGAUGUGCUUACCAUGUAAUUAUUAGUUCAAAGAGGAGAUCUUCCAUCUUCUGAUUUAUCUUGUGACCUCUGUCAUCUUCAUGAGGACGUGCCCAUGUAAUCAUCUCUUGCCCCUUUGAGAUGGAUUGUUGGCGAUUGAUUAGCAGUGGAUGGGAUAUUGGUUUUUGUCCAGAAACUUUACAGAGCUUGUUUGACUUCAUGGUGGAUGCCAAAGUGGCGGAGGGUUUGAAAAUUCUUUUGGCAUAUGUGCCUUGGCUUCUUUAGAAAGCCCGCAAUGAAAGCGUUUUCCAAUAUAAAGUUAACACUCCUAUAUUAUUAGGAUUGCAUCUACUAUGUUCACAACGACUGUUGAAACUAUGCAUCAGCCUUCCUUCAAUCUUUAGUUAAGGCACUGGGGUAGCCAUUUGCAUCCUCCUUAUGUUUUAAAAGAUAAUUUAGUAGCUUGGCACCCUCCUCCCUUGAAAGUGUUGAAGGUUAAUUUCGAUGCUUCUGUCCAUACAGAUCAGACUGCUGGUGGCUCCAUUAUAUAAAGGUAAGCUUGUAAGAGCUGGUGGAAAGUGUUUGAUCCCAUCCUCUGUGCCUCAUGUGGAGCUUACUGUAGCGUGGUUGGGCCAUUACACUGCUGCUAUUGAACUUCAAGCUCAAAGAAUUUGGUUGAAACGGAUCUCCUAUGCUGUCAUCAGUUGGGUUUCUAAGCUUAACAAUGAUUUACAUGCCAAAUCUCCUCUUCUCAGAGAUAUUAUGCAGCGGAAGAAGACUAAGGUUUUCUAUGCCUCUCAUAUUUUUUUUUCGGGAAGGCAAACAAGUGGCUGACCAUCUGGCAAAUUGUGCUCUCAGGGAUGAUUUUUAUUAUACUCAACAGUCUGUUCUUAGCUCUCAACUUGUUAAUCUAUUACAAGCUGAUUAUAGAUCUACUACUUUCUCGAGGUGUAAAAAUGGAACUUGAUCUGCUAUCAAUCCAUACUUAUGAUCACCAAAAGUUAAACUUACUAGCGGGCAUCUUUAGGUGUGUAUCAGAAGCUUACUUUGUCAUCCUUCUGGACCAUUGCUUCUGGGUGUUGGUUUCUAAGGCUCGGCUUACUGACCUGCUUUUUAUCCUUCGAUUCAAUCCAUUUAACCACCACUUUAAAGGUUGUUACAUGAUUUUUUGCUGCAUCUAUCUCUAGAAAAAGGGUAAUGCUCAUCUUAACCUGCUGAAGAAUGCCAGCUGCUUUAAGGUCACUGAUACUCAGCUGCGUGCUGGUUUCCUCGGGACAAACUCCUAAUAGGAUUCAUCUAAACCAUAUAUCCCAGAUGACCAGUUGGCUGCUGACUUUACCAUUCCUGGGUUAAUUCUAUCAUGGUUACUUAUGACAAAGCUCCAGGGAAGAGGAGGUCUCUCUAUGCUUACCCACACUCAUAACUCAAUUCUUUACAAUCCACGGACUAUGAAUAUUUGUAAGGGCUGCUUUCAUUUGGUGAUGCUUCAUUUAUCUGCAAUCCACGUGAACUGUGUGCCAUAUAUUCCAAUUAAACAUUUCUGAUACCUUUGGUUGUGGACAAUGCAUCUAUGCGGUAUUUCUUCCAUCAUCAUUCUUACUCAGAUAUUAGCUUAUGGAUGCUAUGGUAUUAUGCUUUCUUUUGUGUCACCUGAUGUUGCAGCCUUAUUUCUCUUCAUCUACUGUGGAACUGGGUGCUAAGUAUUAUACCUCCACCCACCCUUGCUGCUACCCAGGUUUGGAUUUGCUGGUGGCAGGGAAUUCUCUUUUGGGCAGACGGUAUCCAAGGUUAAAAAAACCUCUUUCUAAUCCUCCAGUUGCACCUUUUAUGUUGUAUAAUAUUUACUUUGUUCAGUUGGGUGCCAGUGUUUUUUGCUCAGUAUUCAAAUCCCAUACUCCAUAAUUGUUAUCCUUUUGUUUCCUUGGUUACUGUCUGUAUUACUGUUACUUGCUUUGGUAUUGUACAUGGUCUUGUUUGUAUUUAUGUAAAGACUGUUUUUUUAAUGAAUAGGCUCUGGCUCCUUUCUUUUCCCCCCAAAAAAAGGCAGAAGUGUCAUAUAAUUUUCCUUACCUUCUCAGAUUGGAUGGCCUUGAUAGUGAGGAGAGGCCUCCUGGAAUGCAGAUCCCUCGAUGGCGUUCCUGAAAUGCCCCUCAGGACAACGAGGUCUUAGUGCUGGAAGAGAGCAAGCUGCUCUUCAGCUGGCUGUACGAUAAUCCGGCCCAAUUAGACCCAAAACCAGCCCACAAAGCUCAAACAAAAAAAAAAAGAAAGAAAACAGAGGACGAAGACUCCCAGCGGGAGUCUUCUUCUUCCCUAUGUCCGACCAGGAGAAGAACUCCCAGGGCCAUCGAAAAUCCUUGGGAAGAACCCUAUAAAUCCCCCUUCUCCCCCUCAAAAGCCAGCCAUGACCAGCCGUAAGAUCUCCCUCUUCUUUCUCUCGGAAUUCUCCGUUGAAGCUCCCGACCCUGUUCUUGUGUUCACCUCAAUUUCUCGCCGGAGAUCUCACCGAAGUCGAAGGUAAGUCCCGACCCUCCUUUCUCUCUUUCUUCUUCUCCUUCCUAUAGCCUUGCACACCCUCGCCGGCCAUCGGGAUCGACGGAAAACUUAUGAAUAGGGGUGGUCCUGUUCUUCCCCUGUUCGGCCGAGCCUUUCUUCCUCUUUUUCGACCACCAGCGCCAUCGCCCUUGGUGCCACACCGAUGUAGCAUUUCCAUGAUCUUCCUAUCUUGCUUUCCCGAGAGACCUUGGCCGCCGGCGACCGGCCAAUGAUCGGAAAACAAGAGAAAAAAGGGUGGGUCCCUUAUUUUUCGUUUGCUUUCUGAUCUCUACUGGCUGAACCUCGUCGCCGGCCAUCUUUGGCUCCACCGCCACCUUCUCCUGUCAUCGGACCUCCGGUCGUGCCGCCGCUCUUCGUUGGAGCUCGAGCCAUCGAGCCUCCUCCCCUCGGUCCCUCCUCUGUUCGGUUGGGAAGAGAAAGAAUAAAAGGAAAGAAAGAAGAAGAAGAAAAGAAAAGAAAAAGAAAAAGAAAAAAAGAAGAGAGAAUUUUCUCUCUCCUCUCUCCCCUCUUUCUCUCUCUUCUCUCUCUUUCUCUCUCUAAAAAGAAAAGAAAAAGAAAAAGAAAAAGAAAAGAAAAAAAGAAAAUAAUAAUAAUAAUAAUAACAACAAUAAAUAUAUGUGAGAAAAAGUUUCUCUCAUCUCUCUCUUUAAGUCUUUCUCUCUCUAGAAUUGAACUUUCUCUCUCUACCUUCUCUCUAUAUUUUCUCUCUCUAGAUUCUCUAUCUAUUUUCUCUCUCUAAACCUUUCUCUCUCAUUAUGGAUUUUCUCUCUCUAGGGUCAUUCUCUCUCUCUGAUUGCAUCACAGACCCUAGGAUAAAUUUGAGAUGAAAAUAUGAUGAUCUGAGACUGCUCCGAAAUUCGUGCAAUAGAUUAGAUCCCGAUCCGAUCCUUAUUCAAAAUUGAUAACAUCGAUCAUGGUUAAUCCAUAUUAAGUCACCCUGAUAUAACCUCUGAUGAUCUCAACCAUGAUUGCUAUUUUUGAAGGAUACGAAGAUUCUCUCUCCACUUUCUCUCUCUACUUUCUCUCUCAUGAUCGACUUUCUCUCUCUCUAAGAAGANNNNNNNNNNNNNNNNNNNNCAAAAAAUUGCUAUUGAUGAAAUCAUAAUUUUUCAUAAAAUAAGGAUCGGCAUUUGUGAUAUGAAAAAGCAUGUUUUAUUGUGAGCAUUAAUUUCAUGAAUAUGUCUUAUGAAAAUAGCAUGAUUAUGAAGCAUGAAUUUCAUUAUUUUUCCAUCUAUGUAUAUGUAUGCUUUAAGAAAAAGAUAUAAUAAUUUCAAAGGCUCUCAGAUGGCUAUGAAUGAAUUCCUUCGGGAAGGUCGACAUCCAGAGCUAGCAUCCACACGAAACAUGACCUUACCAGCGGGUAUAAAGUUGGCACAUAAAUUAAGAACUCUGUCGAUUAAGAAACAUGACCCUAUCACGGGUAUAAUAGUGACCUUAGCACGAAUAUCUGUGAGCAAUGUUUUGAAACAUGACAUGAAUACAUGAUGAAAAUGAUUUACGAUUCAUAAUUGUGAAAUAUACAUGAUUUAUGCAUGCAUGAUGAGCUUAUAACUUAUUUUAUUAUAUGCUCUAUGAAAUGUUUAUUUUUACAAUAAUUGUUAUUUGCUAAAUGAUGCAUUAUCAUAGAAAACUUAGGUUUGAUCCGGUAAGGAAGCGGAAGUCUACUAACUGAGCUGGUGUAGCUCAUAUUCUUUUUAUUUUCUUUUUUAUGUACAGAAAAAUAAGGCUAGGACUGAUGGAAAGAGAAUCCAGACUUGGGGAUCAGCAAAGCAAGCUUGAAAAUUUUGCACUAGAAANNNNNNNNNNNNNNNNNNNNNNNNNNNNNNNNNNNNNNNNNNNNNNNNNNNNNNNNNNNNNNNNNNNNNNNNNNNNNNNNNNNNNNNNNNNNNNNNNNNNNNNNNNNNNNNNNNNNNNNNNNNNNNNNNNNNNNNNNNNNNNNNNNNNNNNNNNNNNNNNNNNNNNNNNNNNNNNNNNNNNNNNNNNNNNNNNNNNNNNNNNNNNNNNNNNNNNNNNNNNNNNNNNNNNNNNNNNNNNNNNNNNNNNNNNNNNNNNNNNNNNNNNNNNNNNNNNNNNNNNNNNNNNNNNNNNNNNNNNNNNNNNNNNNNNNNNNNNNNNNNNNNNNNNNNNNNNNNNNNNNNNNNNNNNNNNNNNNNNNNNNNNNNNNNNNNNNNNNNNNNNNNNNNNNNNNNNNNNNNNNNNNNNNNNNNNNNNNNNNNNNNNNNNNNNNNNNNNNNNNNNNNNNNNNNNNNNNNNNNNNNNNNNNNNNNNNNNNNNNNNNNNNNNNNNNNNNNNNNNNNNNNNNNNNNNNNNNNNNNNNNNNNNNNNNNNNNNNNNNNNNNNNNNNNNNNNNNNNNNNNNNNNNNNNNNNNNNNNNNNNNNNNNNNNNNNNNNNNNNNNNNNNNNNNNNNNNNNNNNNNNNNNNNNNNNNNNNNNNNNNNNNNNNNNNNNNNNNNNNNNNNNNNNNNNNNNNNNNNNNNNNNNNNNNNNNNNNNNNNNNNNNNNNNNNNNNNNNNNNNNNNNNNNNNNNNNNNNNNNNNNNNNNNNNNNNNNNNNNNNNNNNNNNNNNNNNNNNNNNNNNNNNNNNNNNNNNNNNNNNNNNNNNNNNNNNNNNNNNNNNNNNNNNNNNNNNNNNNNNNNNNNNNNNNNNNNNNNNNNNNNNNNNNNNNNNNNNNNNNNNNNNNNNNNNNNNNNNNNNNNNNNNNNNNNNNNNNNNNNNNNNNNNNNNNNNNNNNNNNNNNNNNNNNNNNNNNNNNNNNNNNNNNNNNNNNNNNNNNNNNNNNNNNNNNNNNNNNNNNNNNNNNNNNNNNNNNNNNNNNNNNNNNNNNNNNNNNNNNNNNNNNNNNNNNNNNNNNNNNNNNNNNNNNNNNNNNNNNNNNNNNNNNNNNNNNNNNNNNNNNNNNNNNNNNNNNNNNNNNNNNNNNNNNNNNNNNNNNNNNNNNNNNNNNNNNNNNNNNNNNNNNNNNNNNNNNNNNNNNNNNNNNNNNNNNNNNNNNNNNNNNNNNNNNNNNNNNNNNNNNNNNNNNNNNNNNNNNNNNNNNNNNNNNNNNNNNNNNNNNNNNNNNNNNNNNNNNNNNNNNNNNNNNNNNNNNNNNNNNNNNNNNNNNNNNNNNNNNNNNNNNNNNNNNNNNNNNNNNNNNNNNNNNNNNNNNNNNNNNNNNNNNNNNNNNNNNNNNNNNNNNNNNNNNNNNNNNNNNNNNNNNNNNNNNNNNNNNNNNNNNNNNNNNNNNNNNNNNNNNNNNNNNNNNNNNNNNNNNNNNNNNNNNNNNNNNNNNNNNNACAAAGCCCAAACACAAAAAAAAAGAAAAAAAGAAAACAGAGAACGAAGACUCCCAGCGAGAGUCUUCUUCUUCCCUAUGUCCAACCAGGAGAAGAACUCCCAGGGCCAUCGAAAACCCUUGUGAAGAACCCUAUAAAUCCUCCUUCUCCCCCUCAAAAGCCAACCACGACCAGCCGUGAGAUCUCCCUCUUCUUUCUCUCAGAAUUCUCCGUUGAAGCUCCCGACCCUGUUCUUGUGUUCACCUCAAUUUCUCGUCGGAGACCUCACCGAAGUCGAAGGUAAGUCCCGACCCUCCUUUCUCUCUUUCUUCUUCUCCUUCUUAUGGUCUUGCACACCCUCGCCGACCGUCGGGAUCGAUGAAAAACUUAUGAAUAGGGGUGGCCCUGUUCUUCCCCUGUUCGACCGAGCCUUUCUUCCUCUUUUUCGACCACCAGCGCCAUCGCCCGUGGUACCACACCGAUGUAGCAUUUCCAUGAUCUUCCUAUCUUGCUUUUCCGAGAGACCUUGGCCGCCGGCGAUCGGCCAAUGAUCGAAAAAUAAGAGGAAAAAGGGCAGGUCCCUUAUUUUUCGUUUGCUUUCUGAUCUCUACCGACUGAACCUCGUCGCCAGCCAUCUUUGGCUCCACCGCCACCUUCUUCUGUCGUCGGACCUCCGGUCGUGCCGCCGCCCUUCGUUGGAGCUCGAGCCAUCGAGCCCCCUCCCCUCGGUCCCUCCUCUGUUCGGUUGGGAAGAGAAAGAAUAAAAGGAAAGAAAGAAGAAGAAGAAAAAAANNNNNNNNNNNNNNNNNNNNCCUCUGUUACGGUUAGGGAAGAAGAAAGAAAUAAAAGGAAAAAAAGAAAGAAGAAAAAAAAAAAAGAAAAAGAAAAAGAAAAAAGAAAAAAGAAAAAAAAGAAAGAGAGAGUAAUUUUCUCUCUCCUCUCUCUCCCUCUUUCUCUCUCUUCUCUACUUUAAAAAGAAAAGAAAAAAAAAGAAAAAAAGAAAAUAAUAAUAAUAAUAAUAAAUAUAUGUGAGAGAAAGUUUCUCUCAUCUCUCUCUUAAAUAUUUCUCUUUCUAGAAUUGGACUUUCUUUCUCUACCUUCUCUUUAUAUUUUCUCUCUCUAGAUUCUCUCUCUAUUUUCUCUCUCUAGACCUUUCUCUCUCAUUAUGAAUUUUGUCUCUCUAGGAUCAUUCUCUCACUCUAAUUGCAUCACAGAUCCUAAAAUAAACUUGAGAUGAAAAUAUGAUGAUCUGAGACUGCUCCGAAAUUCAUGCAGUAGAUUAGAUCCCGAUCCGAUCCUUAUUCAAAAUUGAUAACAUCGAUCAUGGUUAAUCCAUAUUAAGUCACCCUGAUAUACCCUCUGAUGAUCUCAACCAUGAUUGCCACUUUUGAAGGAUACGAAGAUUUUCUCUCCACUUUCUCUCUCUACUUUCUCUCUCAUGAUCGACUUUCUCUCUCUAAAAAGAUCUAUGAAUCCUGUAUCGAGUCAUGCCUUCAUCUUUUAGAGGCUCAUAUUGACUCUAAUAAGAUGAUCCAAAGUUACUUUGAUAUCCGUGCUGUAUGUCAACUUCAUUUGGCCAUGUAAAGUAUUUUUCAAACCCAUUAUUAAGGAAUCCUAUUGAUUGAUCUUGACUUUAAUUUGAUCUGUGCUUCACGAUUUCUUGAUCAAGUCACUUGAAUCUAACUCUCAGAUAAGAGAUCCUGAAUUGCCCUGGUAUCUGGAUGGUCCGACACAUCCGGUCAACAGUCUUCUUUCCUUAUAAUUUGAUCUUGUUAGAAGUCUGAAGAUCUAAGAUGAAUGAGAUAAGUAGAUCUUAUGCUCCUUAUUUAUUUUUAAAUGAUCAUAUUUUUAUGCAAAGAAUUGCUAUUGAUGAAAUCAUAAUUUUUCAUAAAAUAAAGAUCGACAUUUGUGAUAUGAAAAAGCAUGUUUUAUUGUGAGUAUUGAUUUCAUGAAUAUGUCUUAUGAAAAUAGCAUGAUUAUGAAGCAUGAAUUUCAUUGUUUUUCCAUCUAUGUAUAUGCAUACUUUAAGAAAAAGAUAUAAUAAUUUCAAAGACUCUCAGAUGGCUAUGAAUAAAUCCCUUCGAGAAGGUCGACAUCCGGAGCUAGCAUCCACACGAAACAUAGUCCUGCCAGCGGGUAUAAAGUUGGCACAUGAAUUAAGAACUCUGUCGAUUAAGAAACAUGGCCCUAUCACGGGUAUAAUAGUGACCUUAGCACGAAUAUCUGUGAGCAAUAUUUUGAAACAUAACAUAAAUAUAUGAUGAAAAUGAUUUACGAUUCAUAAUUGUGAAAUAUACCUGAUUUAUGCAUGCAUGAUGAGCUUAUAACUUAUUUUAUUAUAUGCUCUAUGAAAUAUUUAUUUUUACAAUAAUUGUUAUUUGCUAAAUGAUACAUUAUCAUAGAAAACUUAUACUUGAUCCGGUAAGGAAGCGAAAGUCUACUUACUGAGCUGGUGUAGCUCAUAUUCCUUUUGUUUUCUUUUUUAUGUACAAAGAAAUAAGGCUAGGACUGAUGGAAAGGAAAUCCAGGCUUGAGGAUCAGCAAAGCAAACUUGAAAAUUUUGCAUUAAGAAUUCAGUUUAUGUUUAUGGAUUGUAGUCAUUAUGAAUUUUUAGGCUUAGAUUAUUUCAUCUUUGGAUUUAGAUGCUCUGAAUCAGUUUUGGUUUAAUUAAAUAUUUGAAUUGAACUUUAAUAUUACAUUUAUUUAUGAUACAUCUGUUAUUAUAUUUAAGAAGAUGAAUUUUGACUUCGUGUUAUCGUGGGUCCAUCCCUCGGUAGCAUGGCCGUGUUAUGUCCCGAAUUUGGGGCGUGACAGGCUUGCCAUGGGAGAGGCUGUUGCUGCGGCCAUUAUCCGCAAACUAGACUUGUGAACCCAAGUGCAGAUGGUAGAUAGAAAAAAAUAUUUCUAAAAAUCGGCUUCUUUUAUGACUGCAUAGGUAAAAGGUGUUUUAUUGGCUGGUUUUUGAACUGUUACCAUUAUGGCCUACCAUUGGUGCUUUAAGAUUUGUGUUUGAAGCUUCUUCAUGUGAUCGCCGGCAAUAAGCUGGGAUGCAGCAGUCGACAGCACCGGAAGGGAAGGCAGGUAACCCUGGGAACCGCCAGGGGAAAUCUGGUGGGGGGGGGGGGAUGGCCAGAUUUGGGGUGGAAAAAGGGGAUGAAGGCGUGUAGCACUUGGAUCUCAUCGGAACCAUAACUGGAGGAGGUGGAGGAGCUUGUACAACAACUUUCAGAGGUGGUGGAGCUCUCGAAAGAUGAGGUUCAGAUCGAUACGAAAGAUUGGGCAGCCUCGACGGUGGUGGCGUGGAGUCUUGGCUAUAAAGUGAAGGUCGAGACGGCGAUCAAGGAAUUCCAAUAGCGGGCGGGCGUGAAAGGGGAGGUGGUGGGCUAUACCCUGGAGCAGGAAUACCUCCUUUUUCAGUUCUCGGAGCCAAGAGAAAAGGAUUUGAUUCUUGACCGAUCUUGGGUGGUCGUCGGCCAAGCCUUGACAGUGGAGCAAUGGCGGCCGUAAUUUGUUCCAACGAAAGAAGCAAUCCGCUCGGCGCUGGUGUGGGUCCGACUACUGUGGCUUCCUACCGAGCUUUGGGGGGAGGUGGCAGUCCGAAACAUUCUCCGAUGGGCUGGCGAGCUGUCGUCGGUGGAUGAUUUCACGACAGAACGGAGAAGGCUGGGCUACGCAUAGGCAUGUAUCAAGAUAGAUCUUUCCCGACCAUUGAGACCAGGAGUGCUAAUUGACGGAUCAGAGGGACCUAGAUGGCAACGAUUCGUGUAUGAAAACCAUAACGACGUCUGCCUUCGGUGCGGCUACUUCCACGGUCCGAAGGCGUGUCCAACGGGCGGGGAAGAGGGGAGCUCGUCGGCAGGUCUCCGCUUAGAUAAUGUGGUUCGAGCCGAAGGAGAGGAGACACUGGGGCCUUAGCUGAUUGCCGUCCGAUAAUAGAUGCCCGAACCGAUGGCGAACGGAGGACGAGAGAAGAAAGGGGUCGAGUCAACUCGGCCCCCUGAGUCGGAAACUCAACAGGGCCAACCUGGGAAGGAACCAACUUAGAGCGGCUCAGAUCGAGUUGAUCCAAUGAGGGGAUCUAACAAUUGGAUCAAGCCAGCCAAGAUCGCACGACGAUGAUUGCCUAGGUGUGGAUCAACGAUUGGAUUGUGGGGCCGCAUUGAGAUGCGUGCAGGGAAGGGAGUGGAGAUGGGCUCGAGCCCGUGUGUGGCCUGACCGGCCAACUCCUUCGGCCUGCUCGCAUUGGACUGUGACUAGAGGCAAGCCCGUGCACAAGAGCCUGUGGGUCGCGGGCUGCAUUGGCGGAGAGGCAAGAGCAGGCUCUGGCCAGGCAAUAAAAAGGGCACCUAUGAAGCCCAUGGAUCAGGGGAAAGGGCCCAACAGCAAUAAAAAGGGCCUUGCAAUGCCCAAUAGGCCCAAGGGCAAGGCUUUAGCCUGCCAGGAGGGCCCAGUGGACAUGUCAGCCAUCUCAGGAGGCCCUAGGGUGUUCACUUUCUCAGCUAAGACCCCAAGGAAAGGGGAAGCAGUGCAACCUAAGAGAGACUCACAGGCGGACGACCUUGGUGCCCCAGCAGAUGCCAGGUAGUUUGGGAAGGGGUUGGUGACCGAGAUUAUGGAUGGAGCAAGCAUGGACCAUGACAAGGCAGUGAUCCGACUGAUGCAGGCCAUACAAGGGGAGGAGAGGAGUCCGUUUGCUAUGGACUCAAUGACAGUAGGUGCCAAAGCUGAUGCUCAGACUAAGGGGGGUACCAGUGCGGAUCCCUUUUCUUGUCAGCUUCCCCAAUGAGACUGCUGAUUUGGAACAUCUGAGGGGUGGAGAAGCCCCCAUUCCAAACAACGUUUGGCAAAAUCAUCUAGCAACACUCCCGGACAUCUAUGUCCUGCUUGAGACCCGACUAUUAGGGAUUUGCCCGGGCUAGAAGAUGGAUCCCACCGAUGUGGAGCACUUAAGCAGUGGAGUCUAGAGGACUGUCCGGAGGGAUCAUGGUGGUGUAGCGACGAGGCUUGAUCAAGGUGGAUGCUUUCCACAGAUGCGAGCAGUAAAUGGCUUUAGUUAUUUCGAAGGAGAUUGGAGAUCCUUGACUUUUGUCUAGAGUGUAUGUUAGCACUAAGUAUAGGGAGUGGAGGAUUUUUUGAUCUGAGAUAUAUAGGCUGGUGGAGUAGGAUUUGCCUUUUUUUAUUGCUGGAGACUUCAACUGUAUUAUGAGACCCCACGAGAAGAUGGAUGGCAGACACUGUGGAGAGCAUAAAAUCUGAAGGUUUAAGGAGUUCAUCGGUGACUUGGGAUUGAUUGACCUUGGCUACAUCAGUCCCAGGUCACUUGGUGCAACAACCGGCUUAGGAGAGCUCAGGUUUGGGAGAGGAUUGAUCAGGCUCUUGCUACUGCUGAGUGGUUCCAGCAUUUUCUGGAGCACCAUGUGUAGCAUCUUCCAAGGAUUACUUUCGACUACUGUUCGCUUCUCAUCACCACCGAUGGUUCGCACUUGCCCAAGAUGUCAUUCCGGCUUGAGAAGUUCUAGACUUUCUAUUUGAGAUCAUGGAACUUGAUCAAAGAGGUUUGGAGGAUACCGAUACAUAAUAAUGCGAGACAUCGGGUGACUAGGAGGGUUGAACUGAUGAGGUGCAGGCUAAUCUGAUGGAACUGUCUUGAGGUUUGUGAUAUCUUCAGACGGAUCGAGGGAGUAGAUAUGGAUAUUGUAAAGCUCCAGAGGAAAGAGGAUCAGGAUGGAGACCUCCACGAGCAUGACCUCAAGGAGCUUCGUGACAAGCUCUCUGGACACCAUUUUUUGCUGAGACAACAGGAGAUGCUAUGAAGGCAAAAGUCUAUGAUGCAGUGAAUUAGGGAGGGUGACCAAAACAUCGAAUUCUUCCAUCAGUCGAUAAUGAUCUGUACGUCUACCAAUCGCAUCAGACAGCUGAGAGAGAGCGACGAUAGAGUGGUGGAAGAUAGUGAUGAGAUCAGAGGUCAGAUUUUUCAGUUCUUCAGAUCCCGCUGGACUGUUCCCUUGGAUGGAGAUGCCCCCCUCCAGGGGUCCCACUCUAUGUGCAGUAUCUCUGAUAGGGAGAAUGAGGAUAUGAUCCAUCCAGUGUCGACAGAGGAGGUGCGGGGUGCCCUUUGGUCCCUCGAAAAGGAUAAAGCCCUUAGGCCAGAUAGUCCCCCCCUUCUUUCAGCAUUAUUGGCCGAUCGUUAGCGAUGAGGUGACUCAGACGGUGCAGGUGGUCUUUGAGUAUAGAGGUAUUCCUGAGCAAUAGAAGAAGACGUUGACUGUCCUCAUUUCGAAGAGAUCUAAUGCGUCGGCCCUGAUCACUUCAGACCGAUCAGUCUUUGCACCACUCUCUACAAAAUAUAUGCGAGGAUCCUGAUCGAAUGAUUGAAGCCGGUUAUCCCUCACCUGAUUAGCCAGGAGUAGAAUGCUUUUGUCAGUGGUCGCUCCAUCACCGAUAAUGCCUUGCUUGCUCGGGAGUUUAUGCAUAAUCUUCAACGUACCCUACUCGUCGGAGCCUGAUGACGAUCAAGCUGAAUAUAGAGCGAGCUUAGGAUUGGAUGAACGAGUGAUUUUUGUAUUAGAUGCUUCACGAGCUCGGCUUCCAAGACAGGUGGAUUGAUUGAGUCAUGGACUGUGUGGAGGCUUCAAGCUAUGCCAUCUUGAUCAAUGGGACCCCGACGAAGUUCUUCCACCCGAUGGACGGUCUACAUCAAGGGUGCCCUCUUUCGCCCUAUCUAUUUAUUUUGUGUGCUGAUGCUCUUUCUCGUGCUCUUUGAACAACGAUCUAGAAGACUGAGUUAGAACCCUACUGGUCUGACCCUGAGAUUCAACCGCUCUCGCACCUCUUUGCAGAUGAUUGCUUGCUUAUUAGUUGAGCGUCUAUCAAAAAUGCGAGGUGCUUCGCAUCUAUUAUUGAGACAUACUAUCAUGCCUUUGGCCAGCUCGUGAAUCUAUAGAAGUCCACGAUCACCUUCAGCCCCAAGAUGAAGAUUUAGGUGAAGCAGAUGAUUCAGGAUAGGUUGGGGAUCUCUGAACAGACUGGGAUCUUGAUCUAUCUAGAGGUCUCCAUCAUAGGGAGGAGACUUCGGAGGGUUGACAUUAGGCCCAUGAAGUAGCAGAUCCAGAAUUACCUCGAGAGCUGGCAAGCCAAUGCCCUCUCCAUGAUGGGGAGGACUACUCUUGUGAGAUCGAUCCUGAGCUCCAUUUCAGUUUAUCUUCUGGCUAAUGCUAUUGUGCCGUGCUCCUGUCUCAGGGAUCUUAAGCAACAAUUCUGCAACAUUUUUAGGGCUCCAGACAUGGCGGCCAUGAGCUUUACCUACUCUCUUGGCAGGUGAUUUGCUAGCUUGUGCAGGAUGGAGGCUUGGGGAUCCAAUCCUUGCUGGUUCAAAGAGAGAUGAUGAUUGCCAGACACGCGACCAGAUUCCUCAUUUAGCCUGACUGCUUGUAGAGCAGGAUGAUGAUGGCUCAAUAUGGAGCUUGAAGCUAGAAGUCCCAGAUCCAUACUGACUAUGGUUGCUCCAUCUAAAGGAAGAUUUACAGUUGCGCCCCUAUGAUAGUAGCCCAAGUCAGAUGGCUGAUUGGUGAUGGAGCUUCGAUUGUUGUGAGUCAGAAUGCCUGAAUUUCCAAUCUUUCUCUCUCACAGUGGCCGACUUACGUCAGCAUGGAGGUGGACGAUGAUAUAUGGGUUCGUGAUCUGAUCACUGAUGAUGGCAAGGGUUAGAGGUCUUAAGAGGUCAUCCAUCUCUUCGAUGGUCAGCCUGCUGAUAGGAUCCUAACCAUUCCCAUUUCUAUUUAUCAAAGCCAUGAUCUAAGUGUGUGGGGCCGAUCUUGCAGCCCCAAGGUCCCUGCGAGAGAUCUCAUUGUAAUGAGCAGGCUGAUGCCAGAGAGGAGGAUUGAGACAACUUGGAUCUAGAGAGUGACUGUUCAUCCCAAGAUCAGACUCUUUCUUUAGAAAAUUGUUUGGGACCGCUUGUCGAUCCAGACUCUUCUCAAAGAUAGAGGCAUGGAGCUUCCGACCACCUGCCCCAUAUGCGGGCUGGAGGAGUCAUCGACGGAGCAUGUCCUGCUUCAGUGUCCGAGAGCAUGCUUGAUAUGGGGGAUGGCAGGUGGCCAGCAUUGGAGGACGACUAAUGGAUCGGAUGAUAUGAUGCCGUAUGUCGCAUAUCAGAUUUGACUAUCUAGAAACAGCUUGAUCUUCAAUGCCAAGAUAGUGCCUGCGCACCGAGUGCUAGAGAGCCUACUAUCAUACAGAGGAGUCUAGCCAUUUUGAUGCUGCUGGCCAGUCUCUUAUCGCCCCGAGUUUCUGAAAAUCCUUUGCUGCUCAUGCAGCGAUCCGAAGAAUUCUUUUGAUUUCUUAAGAGCCCCCACCCUUAGGGUUUGUCAAGUUCAAUUUGAUGGCAGCGUGAGAGAUGACAAAGAUAGUGUGGACUACGUCAUCCAUGGCCCGGAUGCCAGACUGCUGGCUUCUCGAAGCUCACCCCUAUUCGAGUCAUCAAUCCCCAAUGUGGAGCUCGAUGCCACCUGGGCUGGCAUUAUCUAUGCGCAUCAAGAGCUACGGGCUAAGAGAAUCUUCAUUAAGAGUGACUCUGCCACAGUCAUUGGCUGGAUCCAUGAUAAUAUGAGGCAUCUCGAUGUUCAUCUGUUGCUCCGUGAUAUUUGGAGGGCCCUCAGUCAUUCCACCGCAACGACUAUUCGACACAUCUUUUGAGAGGCGAACAAUGCUGCCGACUAGAUUACUUCCUUUAUGGCCGAUCACAUUAGAGAUUGGACCUGAUGUCAAGAUAACAACAAUCUAAGAGCACUGCAUGACAUUUUGUACUCUAAUUUUUUAGACUGCACUCGUACUAGACUAGUGUGACCGCCUAGUUGUAUCAAAAAAAAAAGACUGCAUGGGUAAAACUGGAAGUUGAAUUUUGUUGGGAUGAGGUGUUAAAAUUUGUGCUUCUCAUUGCUCAGGUGUGUCCUCAAUCCUAUCCUUAUCCUGUAAGAGGACACAUCUUUGGACCAUAUGAUCAAGAAAUUAUAUUCUACACCAUGUGCACCACAUAGUGGUGCACUGCACCAAUCACAUACGUUCGUUAAGUUGAGCAAUCACCGAUAUGAGCACUUGAUGUAUAAAAUCCAUAGAAAUAAACAUCUAUGAUGGUGUGGUGCACUGUCAUAUAAUGCACAUGAUGUAAGAUAUAAUUUCUCCACAUGGCCUCAUGAAAUUUUGCCAACUAUCCGAGAUUAAUGUUUAGUAAAUGGAGUUCCCCAUCAAAGUUUGAACUUACACUAGUUUAGUUUGGUCAUCGAGCCUAUUUAUGUGCAUCUUAGCUUCAAUCCUUUUGGUUUGUGUUCAAGUCCAUUUACAUGUGUCUAGACUGUCACAUAGGUGAAAUUAAGCUUCACUAAUCUUAGACUUGGAGGUUUUGGUCUAGUAGAAAUUUUUUGUGCACCACUUGUGGUGUAGAAAAUCUGAUGUGGAGUGCACUGCUUCACCCUAUUGAACCACGUAGCCAUCAUUUUUUAAAACAUAUUUAAUAUCCACAGUUCUAUUUUUUCAUUUGAAAUUUUGAAUGAUGAAAAUACUUUUUUUAAAAAUUAUGACACUCCUUUACAAAAAUUAUGACAUCCCUUCUCUUCCAAAAAAAAAUUAUGACAUCAUAUGCUGAUAUUAUGACAUCCUACGUUGAAAUUAUGACUUUCUGCACAGAAUGUCAUNNNNNNNNNNNNNNNNNNNNNNNNNNNNNNNNNNNNNNNNNNNNNNNNNNNNNNNNNNNNNNNNNNNNNNNNNNNNNNNNNNNNNNNNNNNNNNNNNNNNNNNNNNNNNNNNNNNNNNNNNNNNNNNNNNNNNNNNNNNNNNNNNNNNNNNNNNNNNNNNNNNNNNNNNNNNNNNNNNNNNNNNNNNNNNNNNNNNNNNNNNNNNNNNNNNNNNNNNNNNNNNNNNNNNNNNNNNNNNNNNNNNNNNNNNNNNNNNNNNNNNNNNNNNNNNNNNNNNNNNNNNNNNNNNNNNNNNNNNNNNNNNNNNNNNNNNNNNNNNNNNNNNNNNNNNNNNNNNNNNNNNNNNNNNNNNNNNNNNNNNNNNNNNNNNNNNNNNNNNNNNNNNNNNNNNNNNNNNNNNNNNNNNNNNNNNNNNNNNNNNNNNNNNNNNNNNNNNNNNNNNNNNNNNNNNNNNNNNNNNNNNNNNNNNNNNNNNNNAUUUUGUAAAGAGAUGUCAUAAUUUUUAUGAAGGGAUGUCAUAAUUUUUUUGAAAAAAAAAGAUAUUAUAAUUUUUGUGAAAGAAUGUCAUAAUUUUUAAAAAGCAAUGACAUAAUUUUUAAAGAUAUUUUCAUUAUUCAAAAUUUUAAACGAAAAAAUAAAACUGCAGAUAUUUAAUAGGCGUUGGAAAGUGAUAGUUACAUGGUCCAAUAGGGCGAAGCAAUGCACUCCACAUCAAAUUUUCUACGCCGCAGGUGAUGCACAAAGCAUUUCUCUUUGGUCUAGAUUUCGUGUACACUAAAGAACCAAUUGGGUCUGAAUCAUUUGCAUAUUAAAAAGAUCAUAAAACUCAUCCCAUCUUCGGGUGUGGUUGGAGUAUUUAAAAUCCACGCCUUCCUAGUGAACAUCAGGCUCAAGUUGAGUAUGAAUCACAUUUGAGUUAGGUGUCAAUUGGGUCCUGAUUCCUAUUAAGCAUCAUACUUACCAACUAUAAUUGGCAAGCAAGGUUGCAAUAGCUUGCCCUUGACAUAAAGAGAAUGUAGAAAAUGAAUAUUGUGAUAUUCGCAUGUUCAUACCACAGCAAACUGAAGAUUCUUGAAUCUAAGAGUUCAUUUGUUGAAUGUUCAAAGUGAAAUCUACAAAAUGAAUUGUGCCCAAAUCUAGCAAUAACUUGGGUUUUAUCAUGUAAGAAAAUUUCUGAUAUAACUCACAGGCAUAGGGUACACAAAAUUUUCAACCGUGGUUAUCAAUAUGCAUCCCUAAUCGGUAAAGUUUAAAUGACUUGAUGGGGCCUUCUCAAGUUAAAUUGCACAUUUCUACCACGAUUUUAGGAUAUAAAUGCAAAAAUCCCAACAAAUAAGGGCAGCAAUGAGUCAGCUUUGGUUUAGGUCAAGUAUGGAUAGCAUCACACAAAACAUAGCAUUUGUAAACCCUAUAAUGCAUUUUUAUUUCAGGGAUAUAAAUGCAAAAAUCCCAACAAAGAAGAGUAGCAAUGGGUUGGCUUUGGGACAAGCAUUUAUAGCAACAUUCAAAACCUAGACAUAUACUUGACUUAAAACUGGUAUAAGGUCAGGACACCUCAACCGAUACCUAUCCACAGGUCAUUUUGGAUGACCCAUUUUUUAUCUUAAUCUAACUUAUUUUGCAGGGCUCAAAUCCUAAAAAACCUAAUCCAUCAAAUUUAACUUUUACCAUUCUCAGUCUGAUUUUAAAAAUAAUUUAAAUAACUAGUAUUAAAACAAACACCAAUCACUCAAUAAAAUCAUAUAUUCAAGAUAAAAACAAUCAUGCCUUGAUCAUUUCAAUCAAAAUAAAAUUUGACCCCUUCAGCCUGGGUCGGGUCAAAGCUUCAACAUAUAUCCAAUCCAUUUGAAGUUCAGGUCAAAAACUAUGACCUGUACCUCCCUAAUCAAAAAACCUUUGACCCAAACCCCACCUAAAUAUAUGGGCAGCUGGUAAUGUGGUAGUGAACCUCCCCGUCCCAGUUGCAAACUUGACUCCCUGACUUCACCUGCAAACUAACAGAUAGAAUCUGGUCUUGAAUGCUUAGAAGGCAUAAAUGCAUUAGAUUAUUGUAUUUCAUUUCCUCUGCUUUCCAUCAUCUUAUAGCGCUUUUGUUCUUUUUUAGGUCUUGCAGGACAAAAUCGUGUUAGAGCUGGUCCCUUAUGAUUCCGGAUUCAGUGCCCAUCUUCAAUAAAUGAAUCGCAUAACAAGGGACCAAGAAGAAAAUGCAAUUUGUAUAGGGAAAUAGCUAGCAAUCUUGCAAUCUCUGCGAUGCACAUUUUUCCUUUUUUUUCCUUUUGGGUAACUUAAUGACAGUUCUUGUUACUAAGUGACCUUUGCUGCAGCAUUCACUUUCCCAGGUGGAUACAAUAACCACAAUAGCUCAUGAUGCAGGAAUAGCCAUGCUAACACACAAACUAGCUGCUAUAAAACAUUCUUAAUCUCAGAGUGAAUUGAAAUAAUACUCAUUUAUCUGGGAUCAUGCAUUCGUGAUGUAUACCUAUACUCUCUUAGCACUUGCUGCCAAGAAGUUCAUGUGGGUUGCACUUGGAGGGAUGAAUAUAUGUAACAGAUGCAGAUAUAACACAGGUGAAUGCACAUGUAAAAAUGCUUUUAAAUCAGUCACAGGAGCAAAUUUACAAUAGUCCACCAAAAUCUGGAGUACACUUGUGAAUAAAUAAAUUCUCUAGUUAUAAACUAGAAAUAAGUAAUCCAGAUCAUCAAUUGAGAUUAGAUCAUUUGGCAUGUAAAAAAAUGAGAUAAAAAAGAUAAACAUGUUACCUCCCAUUCAAGGUUCAGUCAGAUGCUGGAAAUUUUAUAGCACCUUGCUUGAUUUGCUUUGUUGGGUCUAACAUGGACGAAGUUAAUUGAAGACCACAACAGGGUACUGCAGUAAUGAACUACUACUGGUAUAUGGCAUUGGUGAUGGUUGAUUUAUUUAAGAAAAUGGAGCAUUUGUUAUGCAUCAAGAUUGUUUGAAGCAAAUUAAUAAAUAUACUCCAUUUAAUCUACAUAAUCUACAGGGAACAUGAAAGUCUAUAUGCCGACUCCAAAUAUUGUAAAAUAGAGAAAGUAGGAAAUGUUAGCCAACUAAGAUUAAUCUUUUCAAAUAUAUGUUGGCUGUGGAAGCAUAUAUCCUUCAAGAUGAUCCCUCCAUUUUUCAUUCUGUUGCAUUUUGCAAGAAUUUUUAUUCAUCUUACCCAGAUUAACUACAAGUUCUCUCAACUGACAAUGCUCGCUUGCAUGGAUUGAUAAGUCCUGAUAGAACCUUAAACUAUAUGAUUUAGAGUAGUAAUUAAGUGACAGCCACCAAAAUUGUACAUUUUUUUAAGUAGAAAAAACUGCUGGCACUAAUGUAACUAUCAUAAGAAUGAUACAUUUAGCCUCGAAAAACUUCAGGUGUCAAACAAAUUUUCUAUGAUCUAUAUUAGUACCAAAAAUGACAUCAAAAGCAGGCAAUUCUACCACAAUCUGACAGGGAUUAGCAGUCAGAGGAGCAAUAAGAUAGAAAAUACACAUUAUUUGUCAAAAGAAAGGUAAAAACAAAUUUGAACUGGAGUGGCUUGCUUACUAAGUGCAAAAGAUCAAGAUGCAUCAUCUUUGGGAGUAUUUGUAAGUAUAAUUCCAUUACAAAAGACUUCAGUAAAUCAGGAAAUGGAGACACAGCUAUCUCAUCAUACUUUCCUGAGGUCCGUUAAAGCAAACACUUUCUAGUACCGGAUGGUCAAGGCUGUUAGACCGGCAACCGGGUUUGAUCCCACAGCUUGAAUAACAAAGAUAUCUGCAAUUUUCAGAUUCUAGAAUUAAACAAUUAAGUGAAUUGCUAAAGAAAACUGUAUUCAAAUCUUCAAUUGCCAGAAUAGAAGAAGAAACGUCAUGUAUUUUAACUAUAAUUUACCUGCAUCAGAAGCAAGCAGAGUUCUUGCCCCCAAAUCUCUCAAGUUCCCAAUCAACAAAAGAAUCUGGGGGCCAAAAAUCAGUCAUCCAUAUUUUGCUUAUAUGACAUUAGAAAAAAAAAAUCUAUUUUAAGCUACUAAAUUGGUAGAACACUUGUACCCGACAUUAGCAGAAAGAAGUACCAGCUGAAAAAAUAUCAGCCCAAACAAAUCCUAUCGCUGACAGUUUUUCUCCGCAGCAUCACGAAUGUGAAACAUAAGCUGGAAAAUUAUUAUAGUUAGAAAGUUGAAUGCCGAAUAUUACACUGAUCCUGAUGAAGAACAAGAUAAACAAGCAAAUACCUUGGUUGCAACAUAAAAUGAUACAAACAAGACAGACAGAACGGGCAUUCCUGUACAUUAAAAGGACAGAAGGCUCUUGUAGGUAAAUGCUUGUUGAACUGGAGCAAACUGAUGUGCAGUUAACAUACCAUCCUUCUGAAGAAAUCGUGAAAUCAACCAAUUUAUGCCCGAUGGUCCUAUAACAUAACCAACAAGGUUUGCAACCUGUUGUUCAACCAGGGAUCAUUAGUACCAAUAUACCUCAGAUUUACCAAGGAACAAACUAAAUUUUUCAUCUUAAAGGCUUUUCUUCUCCCUUUAAACACUACAUAAUCAUAUACCUGCAUAAAACUGGAAGAAAAAAAAGGUUGGUUAUUGAUAUUUGAGGACCUUCCUGCUCACCUUACAGAGAAACCUCAGUUGCCGACCAUACAAUUGAUAAAAUCAACAAAAGGUUGAUAUAUUGCUUCUUGAAAGAAGACAUAGAUCAGUAGCAAUAAACUUGGGGACACAUUUUCUACAUAAUAUGUAGUGUUCUCUAAAUCCAUUAAAUAGAACAUGAGAACAGAAACAAAGCUGUCUGAUGGAAGGUUAUGUCGUAUGAAAUUCUGAAGAGGAUAUGCAAUAAGAUUGAUUAAUUUGUAAAGCUGAAGCAUAUGAAGCUCUUCAGUUGGCACUAAUCCAGUAAAAGAUCUUCUAUCAGUGAAGCACAAUGAUUGCUGUGGCCAGAUAAGAAGCAUGUCAAUUAACAUGUUAGAUAUGCUGAAUAUGGAAGGAUGAAUUAAUCAAAUUUUCUAUAGGCAUUCCAGGCCUUACUUUUCUUUGGUAAGACCACCCAAUUUCAAUUAUCAAAACAGUUUAAUGGGAUUGUUUGAAUAUUAAUACAUGCAUGUUCUCCAUCUAGAGUUCUAAAUAAUUUGAAGGGGAUCACUUCUGAUAAAUUUCUCUCACCCUUUUCUGUUUAAACAAGCAACUGGAAAAGGCUGUUGAAUGAGCAAGCCCAGUAUGAUGAGCUUGUGUUUGGUUCACCAAGGACUUGCCAGAUUAAAAUGGACCAGGUUUGACAAUUGAAUUUAAGUUUGGAGAUAAAUGAACUGAUAUUUCUAUGCUUCCUCAUGUUUGACACAUUUUAUAUAUAUAUAUAUAUAUAUAUAUAUAUAUAUAUAUAUAUNNNNNNNNNNNNNNNNNNNNUAUAUAUAUAUAUAUAUAUAUAUAUAUAUAUAUAUAUAUAUAUUAUGUUAGUUAUUAUUUAUAAGCAAUCUUUUAAAAAAACUUCACAUAUUACACACUGGCACAAAUUACAAUAAGAAUGGGGUUGUGUUAUCUGCCAUCAGUUUUCUGAUCUAACUGCUACAAUGUUUACUUGCUACUGAACCAUUUCAACAGUUUUUCUAGAUCUAACAACAAAGAUUAAUAUAUAUACCAAGGCUUUAGCAGCACUAAGGCUAUGAUCAUUCCCUUCCCCUGCUUUUGAACAGCUCAGGUUCCACCCAGAAUUUACUUAGCAGGCAUAAGCCUGGCUUGAGUUUAAUUCAGCAGAGCUUGAGCUUGGCCUCAAUUUUAACAUGAACAGAGCUGAAAUAUGGCUUGGCUCUCUUUAUCUUCUUUUAUUUACCCAUUGGAACCAUAUAUAUCACACUAUGAAUUCAAAUUUAGAACAAGAGGGAAGGAAAAAAAUGAAUAUAUUAGAUACUGACAAACAUGAGCAAAUUGAAGCAGGCCUUCCUUUUAAAGUAUGACAGCUUAAAGGUAUAUCUACAUGUCUCCCAAGGUCUGAAAUGCAGCAGCAGAGGAAGUAACGGUCAUGCAUUGGUAUGGAUGUACACCAGUAUGCUCUCAUAUCUGUUCAUGGUUUGCCAGGACAGAUGGUAACGCAGAUCAAAAUAGGGUGGUAUGGUACAAGAUACAGGGUGAUAGGUAUUGCAGUCUGGUAAUCUUUCAAACCUUGAAGAUAUCUCUACUUGAGCAUGUUGUUACUGUAGGUUGGCCACAUGUGAGCUAAGUUCCAUAAGUAGUUUAUAGCAAAGCCAGGUUAAAUAAUGGUGAAGGGCAUAUGGAAACACUAAGCAGACAUGGAAAAAAAUGAUGUCUCAUUCACAUGGCCUAAAACGAGAAACCAUAUGAAAGAAAUCUUCAUUAUAAAAGGGAAACAUACCAUUAGGCAUGUAAUUGUUACUGCCCCAGCAAUGGCACUAAGUUCGCGAUGUAUGAACAUUCCAGCAGCACAUUUUAACUGAUCAGAGCAAAAGUUUAUCAGGCAUUAACUAUAAUUCGAGCAAUGAUAUUUAGUUAAACUGAAUACUGUACUAUCUUUACAUAUAUUUAGUCAGCAGUAAACUGAAUAUUGCUCAAUAUGAUGCAAGCACUGUCAUGCUAAUGUCAGAAAACUAGGCAAGUAAAUAGCAAACACUAGCCUCAAAUUAUGAUAUGUUUCCUGCAACCUUGCAAUGCAAAGCAGGUUGCCGGAUCUGGCUAUAUAUGACAUUUGGAUGGUGAAAAUUGGCCAUUUAUAGAGGUUAAAUCAAGCAAUAUUUGAGGCAAGCAAGUUGAUGCUCUAUAAUGAAAUGACUGUAAUAGAGGAUUUGGACAAAAAUCAGGUUUAUUAUUUCUUCCCAGCUUCAUGUUUUCACUUUAUUACCCGUCAAGUGCAUUUGGAUCCAUUAUACAAUCAUGAUAGUUAAUGAAUUUAUAUGUUCUCUUAAUUUACACAUUAUGGAUUUUAUACUGCCCAGAGCAUGUACCAUGUGCUAUAAAAUUUUGUAGAAGUCCUAAAAUCAUGAAAUUUUAUAUUUCUAUUUCAAUUAGAAUUUUCAAAAUUCACUCUUUUCUUCUAUUAGCAUCUCACAGUAUAUCCAUUCUUAGACUUUCUUUCUCCAAAGACCAAAAAGACCUUUUGACAAAUCUAAUAUCAGCUCAGUGUCUGGAUAUGAAAUCAGAUUACGUUUAUGAGGAAUUAGGAAUAAUUUAGGCUGACUUUUUGUUAAGAAAACUUGUCAGUGAUUUGCUAUUUUUUAAAUGUAAGUAAAUUGGCCUCUGUAUGUAGGUGAUGUAGCUGCUGACGUGUGAGCCUGCAGACUGGAGACUUGUGGACUGUGCACAUUUAAAGACAAUCAAAGGCUUCAGUUGAAUCAUCAGGUAUUAGUUUGUUGAUUGAGUCAUUUUGAGUUUUUGAGUCAUUGUUUGAUGCAUUUAAUUUUCCACUAUUUUCUUUUAUUUUAAUUAAUAAUCAAGUUACUUACUCGAGCAUAAGGUACUGGCUACUUAUAUGAUGAUCAACAUGUCGCUUGGGGUUGAAGUAAUGUUUAACUUUGUAACUUGAUUAUGCAUGGAAGAGCAUUUUGAUCAUGCACCGCUUUUAGGUCAUCUAUAAUUAGUGACUGCCCUAUCUUUUGGGAUAAUGACAAUGUUAUGUUGAUUAACAGUAGUAGUUUUCUUCUUUUUAUUUGAGUAUUCCCUCAUAAGAUGUAAGGCCAGCUGUGAGGCACUUCUAUGCAUAGGAAUUCAUAACUUUUCUUGUUUCAUUAUCUUUGCUUGUGUGUUUGUCUCGAUCAUGGUGUGAGACCAUCCUGGAGUGAGUGGGAUCUUAUUUUUCUCUUUUAUAAGAUUUUGCACAUUUUCUUUUCUUUUAUUUUUGGUUUAACCAUAGAUCCUCAAUCCACAACUUAAAUUUAAUCAUUUUCCAUACUUUUCAUAAAGGAAACUCAUAAUGCACUUCAUCUUCAUCAACAACUCAAAUAUAAAGAGAAAUUCCACUCAUCAAUAGGUUUGUCCUACCAUCUGAUGUCCUUUCAACCUUAAAUUUCUCCUUUUCCCCAGGCUAUCCUACAUCAAUAGGGGAGACCAAUCCCCAGGAAUCUUUAUCAUUAAUGUUUGAAUAAAAUAAUGGUGGAUUAUCCCUUUUGUUUUUAUCACACCUGAACCUAGUUCUUUGUUCCCCCUAGUUUCCGAAUUUCCCUUCUUUUACUCUAAAAUUUGGCAAAAGAAUCCCACUUAAUCCAUCAUGAGAUUCAAUUGCUAUAACCCUUUGUCAAAACCAAUAAUUUCUAUGCAAACUCACGAGUGCUAUCAUAAUUCUAUUUGAAUAAUUCUCCCAACAAAUUAACUAGUAUCAUUACAGUUCUCAUUUGAAAAUUGAAUGUUAUACCACAAGCAAUAGCUCCCCAACUUAGAAGAGAAGAAACACCCUAGAAUAUCCAAAAAUCAAAGUGAUAUGUGAGUUAGGGACAUGGUUUUCAUUAUAAAAACUUGGCUGGGAUUUUCACGUGCUAAUAUGGUGCAUUGACAAACAUUCAACACACACACACACACAUACAAAAGGAUUGCUGACUCGGAACUAGACCCCAUGCCAGCCAGCCAGCAGCACGAGUUGGUACACCCCUAUAUCGGACCAUACCGAACCCAACCAACACGGAAAUGAGGGAUGAACCAGGAAGGAAAAGAGAGAGAAAAAGAGAGGAAAGGAGGGAAGAAAAAGGAGGCCGACGGAGAUGUCAAUAGUGGCCAUUAGAGGGCCACGAAGGUCGUCGGGGUGUCCCGAGCUCUGCGGUCCUCCACAAGAGAAAAUGAGAGUAGAGAGAUAGAGAGAGAGAGGAAAGGAGAAAAGAUGAGGGAGGAGAAGGCAGCAAGGAGGCCGUUGAAGGAUCACCUACUAGCCGCCGUGGCCAUCAGACAGCCCAAAAUAACCCCACAACCACCACGGGUUCAAAACAAGGGUUCGAAGCCCCUGUUUCGUCGUAUUUUUCAAAAAACACAAUAUACAAUGAAGCCUACAAAUCCCUAUUUCAAAUCUGUGGCGGUCAUAGAGCUAUUUUGAACUAUCCGACGGCCACAAUGGCCACCCGACAGCAAACCAAUAGCCUCUCCACCAUCUUUCUCUCCCUUCCUCUCUCUCUUUAUCUCUCUCUUCUUAUGCCUUGCGGAGGACCACGGAGCCCUAGAGACCUCGGCAAUCCUCCAAUGGCCUCAGCAGGCCACCGCCGGUCUUUCCCUUUCCUCCCCUCCUCUCUCUUCCUCUCUUUCCUUCUUCCUCAUUCUAUUUUCACCAGCAUUCAAAAUCAAAUGCUCGAACCGCACCGAUUAGUCAUCGGUACAGUUUGGCACACUCCGAAUAGCAUACAUGCAUACAUACAUACAUACAUACAUACAUAUAUGUAUAUGUAUAUGUAUAUGUAUAUGUAUAUGUAUAUGUGUAUAUAUAUAUAUAUAUAUAUAAUAUAUAUAUAUAUAUGUAUAAAUCAAGGUUCGUCGUCUCCGUACCGGACCCCAUACCAGUAAAAUUCUGUUUAAUGUUGGUAUGCGGUAUGGUACGGUAUGGUAAUGUUGGUAUGCUCCGAGACAGCAUACUUGUAUGAGACCGGUACGGUACGGUAUGGGACAGUACAGGAUGGUACGGUAUUUCACAUAUAUAUAGAGAAACAGACUAGACUCCUUUCAAAAGGAUUUGGAGCUAGAUCCGAUCGAUUCCCUCACCGUCCGAUCAGCACAAAUCUCACCACAAGCACUUCCCUGCUUUAUACAUUAAUUGCCUCUUAUACCUUAUUAUUCCAUCACCAAGUCUCUUUACAUGAUCUCCUUCCCCCUUUUAACUCUUCAAGCACAUCUUUAGCCACCAUCUUGAUAAAGUCGGCCAUCUAGUCCCAUAUUUGAUUGUUCAGUUCUUCAGUUCCUAUUUCUCUCCUCUAAUAAUUUUUAAUAUAAAUUAUUACUAUGAUAUAUAUGCAUGUACAAUAUAUAUGUAGUAUCAACUCAGUGAAAUGGAAUUGCAUUCCAUUUGUCUUUCUGCUUAUUUGUGCCUUAGAUGCCAAAACUGGGAGCAAGUGCAAGAGUCAGUACAACUGUACAAGUGGGGGUAUAGGAACACGGAUAUUUUAAAAACACUUGAAGUAUGGAAGCACUUAAGAAGUAGGUCCCAGUUCAAGUUUUUGGGGAGUUUCUGAAGUGGAUACAUUACCUUAGGUGGAGGUUUCCUACCGCUAAAACUUGUGCCUUAGAAACAAACAAGACUGUAUAUCAGAAGUUGUCGUUUUGCUCCAUCUAGACUCUUUCAAAGACUAGAAGAAGAUGUACUCCUUGUUUGCAUAGGUAGAUCUCUUUACCUGAAAACCGAUAUUACAGGUGACAUGACAAUCCCUUCUCCUGUCUAAAUCUGCCAUGACUAAGAAUCUCCCACUAGACAGGGUUAAUGUCAGCCAACUAGUGGUAAAAUUCGCAUUUUGUGUUGAGGCUGGGAAUUUGACCCUCUCCACCCGCCAAUUGACCUCAUUGGUUUUUAUCUCUACGCUUAUAUCCUAACAUGUAAAAUGACAGAAUUUAAUUUUUUUAAUAUCCAUGCAUAUGUAUUGAUACUCAACCUUUAUAUAUCAGCCCAGAUAAUGCAAAGUCUUGAUCAAUUAAAAAUUCUUUAGCUAUUCAUCUCAAUAAUACUUAGAAAUCCCAAUUCAUCUUAGUUUGAAAUAUUUAUGUUUCAAAACCUUGAUUAAGAAUGGCCAAGCAACCUUGUCUCUAUCAGUUAAAGGAAACUUGAAGUCCUAGACGUCUACAUAAAAAUGAGAUUUAGUUAUGCAUGCCAGGAGAUGCCUGGUGCCUCCAUUUAGAGGUAUGAACUUGUCAUCCCUAUAACAGUUAAAUGAUCAAUGUCCAUUAAAAUAGUGACAUGCUUGUUGUCUUGGGAUCUCAAAGUUGACUUACAAGUUACAACAAGACAACUGAUGUGGACAGAUUGCAUUCAUCCUUGUUAAACUGUCAAUGCUUAAAGGUACCAUAUAUAAGCAUAGUAAUGCACAUCAGAAUAAACACUGACAUUAUCAGAAAUUGAGAAAUGUCCAUGAGAUAUUUAUCUUUCAAUCGUAGAGCAGUAAAUGUGCUUAAGUGUGGCAAAAAUCUAUUGAUAUGACUAAUAUGAUAUUCUACUGAAAAAGGGAUUUGUAAGAUCCAUCACCGUAGACAAUGCAAGAGACUAUACCUGAAAGGAAUUAACUGAUGAUUUGACUAAUAUUUCCGGAAUAAAAAAUAAACAUGUCAGCCAUGCCCAUGAAAGAAGUUUCCUGUUACAGAGUAACAAAACCAUCAUGUAAUUUUGAAGGAUAACUUUCUUAUAGACUCAUACUUCAUUAAAAUGCUAAUAAUAGGGGGAAAAUGUAAAAGCAUGUGCUUAGGGAAAGAUAUACCACUCAAGAUCAUGCCAUAUUGCCACAAACGUGAAAAUGACCCACACAUUAAGUAGCUUUCUUUGAGAACCACCAAGUGGAAUGUACAUGUACCUAUAAUGAUAAUUUACUAUUAGUAAUCUCUGAUUUUUGAAAAUAAUCAAAACACAAAUUAGUAUAUUUAACUAUAAAGAAACACCAAACACAACCUGACAAGCCACUUGUUGAAUGAAGCAUGCCAGUUUUUCCAGAAGCCCUCUAAAUUAUAACAGUUGUUGAUACACUUAGGCAUAUUCUCGGGAGUCUCAAUACCUCCUAUCUGCAAAUUAAUGUCUCAUUCAAUAAGCUUCAGAAUCAGCAAAAAACCAGUGUACUCAAGUCAAAUGGGAAACAGGCAAUUGGGAAAAAAAAAAAGUAAUCAGAGCAGAUAGCUGAGAAUGAAGCAACACAACAGGACUCAACGGUUACUGACAACACAAAAUGCUAAUAGCAUCAAACAAAACUCCAUUGUCGAUAUUACGAGUUAGGAGGGACAUAAGAGAUUAAAAAGUAUAUCAAGAAAGUGGUAUUCAGGUUUCAGGAGGAUUACCAGUGACCAGAACCUAAAAUAGCGCCAAAUAAGAAAGAACUUUAACCACAUAAAAUUAAGGACCUGUCACAACAUAAUGCAAUUAGUUGUCAUAAAUAUGCUAGUUAAAAAGAAAAUACAGCAGAUAUACCAAAACUUACCCAUGGAUGCAUAAAAGUAAUAUAAAUGCAAUACUUAAUGGAAAUGGAUAAACUCUAUCAGUAUCAUCAAUUACAUAACCUGCAUCCAAAUCCUAUCAUCAAUUACAUAACCUGCAUCCAAAUCCACCCUCACAUACACUACUGGCAACUAAAAACUAAAUUGCACAAUGACUUAUCAUUAGAAGGCUAAAUUUAGAGAGCUCCCAAGGGAUUCUACCACUAAGCUAAAGGAGAAGAAGAUUAUGCAAUGAAGCACAUGUUAUGAUAACAAUAGUAAAAGACAUUUUUCUUUCACAGUUGAUACUAAAUACGAACAUGUUGCAUGAAGAAAAAUACAUGCAUAAGUUUGUAGGACAUGUGAUCUUUGUAUCCAUAAAUAUUAUGUUCUACAACAUGGAAAUAUUCCAUUAAGCACUUCUUUGACAGGUAAAAAUUAUAAUCAACAAGAAAAAUUUAGAAUUAAAUAGAGUAGAGUAGAAUUAUUAUUAAUCUAAAUUCUAGUGGAAAUAAUGCUUAUCAGCCUUAGUUCAGUUGGCCAGCAUCCUUCUCCACUUAGGAAAGGAAUGUUUGAACUUAUGAACCCAGGUGGCAUCAUCCUCUCUGUAUUUCUUUAGAAAAAAUAUAGUACAGAAUCUACAGAUUAUGAUUUUAUUUUCCAUCUGCUAUUUCAUGAGACCCAAAAUAAUUUGAAGAAGUGUUGCUUUUUAUCUUAUUUGAUAACAAUAAUAGACUUCCAAAGCUUAAUGGCAGUUGAAGAAUGAAUUAAGUUGGUUCACCAAAGAGAAAAAGCCAGUGCAGAAUGUGACAGAAGGAGAGAACAAGAGUUACACAAAUUAACACAUAAGUAUCAACUAUUCAUAUUGGUGAAAAUAAAUCAGUUAAAAAUAGAAUGCUUUUAUCAAGACUGAACUAUGUUGUCAUGCAGGAACAUAGAAUGCACAGCUUGCAUGGAGUUACAGGAUAAAAACAGAAACAAGACAAUUUUAAAUUCAGAGCAGGGAAGAAUUAAAAACAUAAAACAAUUUGAAGCAGCAUAAUACAUCAAUCACUCGAUAUAUAUUGGUAUUAAGAUAAUCCUGGUAAAAAGAAGACCACAUAACAAUUGAAGCACUUGAUACAAAACUAAAAUCAUGAUAUAUCAAGUAGUUAAAAACCAAAGCAAGCCACAAAACCACCUUAGAAUACCACAGCAAAAAAAAAUCUUAACAAAAUGUUAAAAAGUAGAAAAUAGAAUAAAAUUUUUAAUUUCUUUUACCAGAUUAUUUUCUCAAUAUCCAAUUAUAUGAAAUGGCAAAACUAACUCUUGUAGGAGUAAAGGUGUAUAAGAACCAAGCUCGAGCAAGCCAAGUCAUGCUGAAGCAUAGUUCAAAUUGUCCUGAAGCCAAGAAUGAGCGGGAAUGGUUAAUUUGAAUACUGCUCGAAUGGUUCCAAAAAAUAAUUAAUUCACUGGAUUUAUGAGAGCCUCAUGCAAGGGUUUAAAUACUAGAAAUGAGCCAGUAUCGAUUUUUAUCAUGUAACAGUACAGUAAUGGUACAAUCAGUAAGAAACAGUUCAAGACAAAACCGAUGUCCUGCGCAUGUACUAGCGGCGUGUUCUUGUCAAAGCAGAAUGAUACCAGUUGUGCUGUACUGAAUCGAUGGUAUUUAAUUCCCAGUUUGAGGUUCAAUAAGCCUUACACAUAUACGUGCACAUAUUUAUGUAUCCUUAUGUAGUAUUUAUAUGUUUCACCCCGUCUUAGUCACUAGACUCAAUCAAAAGGCUAAAACCUUUGUUGAUUAAUGAGCACUUGACAUUCUUAUUACAUAAGUAAAUCUAAGUAAUAUAAUUUAUUAACACUAAGGCCAUGUAGGAUGCUGGUUCUGGGGUGGUUAGGCGACGGUUAUUCACUUAACCAGCCAAACAAGUGCAAAAAAUGGUGUGUUAACUCUAUCUGGUCAAUGCCCCAAAAAGUGGCUUAACCUGGCUUUGUUUAUUUCAUGGGGGGGACUUGAAUACAUUCAACCACUAGACCUCUCUCUUCUCUCUCUUUACUCUUUUUUUUUCCACUUUUGUCCAUGACUUAUCCCACUAACCCUCUAAUGUCAACCAAACAACAAAUAAUUCUAACCCAUAGUUUUUUAAUUAUCAAGUGGCAAUGGUUAAAGGCAUCUACCCCUUGUUAGCUAUUUGGGAACCAAACAAGGCCUAUAUGAAUUACAUGCAUAUUUACAGGUUUGCUUGCAUGAAUACAUGGAUAUGUGAUAUGCAUGUGCAUAUCUAACUUGAGUUUAAUCACACUGAAUGUUAGUAGGCAAGGAAAUUCUCAAGCUCAGCUAAUUUCCUGAUUGUACAUGCCCUUAAGAGCAGAAUGCAAAGCAGAACACAAGCAACUCACAAACAGCUCAUCCAAUUUACACUCCAAGAGAAGGUUGUGAUCUGUCAUUGUGGACAUUGUCCCCAAGAUCUAUUAGAGACCAGCGUCAAAGCCUUCCACAUUAUUUAAAAAGUAUCAUGAAUUUAUUCCAUUUCUCCUAUCUUAAAAUGUGUUCCCUUGCAGGGUUCAUGUACAUAGCAAUGCUCUGCCAAAGCUACAAUAUCAAUCCUUUGCUUCAUUUAGAAGCUGUGGCAUGUGAAAUUGGAGGGAGCAAUUGCAAGGUUGGGAAGGAUUGAUGUUGAAUACUCGUUUUGUUAUAUCCUACCUUCCUUGUCAUUAUCUUUGAAGUAUGGAUUUUUCAAGGUAAUGCUUAUGUUUGCAAAACCAAUGCCCUUUAACCUUCUUAUAUCUUUCCUCGAUGAGUUUGGGCCAUAUACAAAUUUGUAAGGCAUGUUGAGUAUCAGGAAGCAACUCUCUUUUGCAACAAUGCCAGCAACUUGCAUUCCAGCCAAAGAUUCAAAUCCCAGUGGGACAUCCCGUGAGACACCAGGAUGGGGUACCAUCCCAUGUGUCAGGACAAGACGUCCCACUAAUAUCCCAACAUCCCAAUCGGGACAUCUUGGAACAUCUCCUGUUCCAAGCGUCAAGUUGAGGCGGGGUAGCGGGGCGUCCCAUUCCAUGAAAAAACCGGGACAGUCCUGUUCCACAAAAUUUAAAAUCUUGAUUCCAGCCAUGACAGCUAAUGUGGAGGCUCUACUAAAGGAUAAGCUGAGAAACAUGCCAUAACCAUUAGCCUUGUACUAAUACAGAAAGACAAAGGAUGCUUAUGAAGACCUUGUGAAAUUUUUAUCUCCAAAAGAUAACUAAAACCCUUCAAACUUUGAGGAAUAACUUGAAAAUAAAUAGUUGCUUACAAUUUUCAAUUUCAUCAUCCUUUACAAUAAAAAAUUUUGACAAAAAGUUACAGUAUUAAUUUAAAUCAAGGUUGACAUGAAACUUCAAGAAGGUACUUGAUCCUCAAUAAUUUUGUUCACUAGCAGCAUGCUAUGAUUGCUAGUUUUAAUAACAAUCUUCUUUCACCUAUUACACCACUGGAAACUAGCUUAGAAUCAAUAUCAUUGUGGAACCUAAGGCCUCUCCAUAGGAUGCGAUAACAUACACUAAAAGGAGUCUUCACACACAAUAUAAGAAUUUUAUCCUUCAUAGAACUGAAUUCAUGCUUAGGCGUCUCAGAUGGAACUAAAAGCAGUAUCACCAUCUUCACAAAGUGACAAUGACCCUAGAUGACAGAUAACCGGUGCUACAGUAACUUCUACAUGAUGCUAAUGAGAAUAGUGGGGUCCAAAUUCAUCACCUUUGAUCAACUUAGGGUCUGUUUGAGAAUGUUGUGGCUUUUCACUGAAAAGCAGUUUUUAGCAAAAGCUGCGUUUUGAGGUCAAAAGCUAUUUCAGGGGAAAAUACAUUUGCUGUAAAAGUAUUUGGCUGUCAAGAUCUAAAAGCCACUCUAAAGCUAUAAAAAUGAUUUGUUGUAUGUUUGACUGGCAAACCUAAAAUCUGCUUUUAAAUGACCAAAUGACCAAAAAGGACAAAUGCCUAAACUGACUCUAAAAUUAUUUAGAUACAAGACAAAUGAGUACCAUGAUGCAAAAUACACAAUUCAGAUAAAGAAUGGGAUUAGAUAGCCUCCUAAAUGCUUAUUGUUCCAGUUUAGCUGCACAAAACUCUAUUCAGAUGGCUAGUCAGCUAAAUGCUCAUUGUUCCAGUUUAGCUGCACAAAACUCUAUUCAGAUGGCUAGUCAGCUAAAUGCUCAUUGUUCCAGUUCAGCUGUACAUAACUCUAUUCAGAUGGCAAGGAUCUCUGUCAGGUCAGCUCUACUUGAACCAUUUCCAGCCCAAGCUGGAUUUUUGCAUGCAUGCAUAUGUGGACCAGUACUGAUGAACAACCAUGCUGAUGGGCAUGUACAUGUCAAAAUGCUACUUGUCGUGAACAUGUUCAUGCCAACUUAUAUGGAAAUUUGAUGGUCACUUUGCAAUGUCUGCAAAGUAGUACUGAGAAUCAUGACAGUAAACUACCAAUACCACAUGGUAUGGUCAGUGCAAUACAAUACAAACCCCAUACUGAGACAGACUCCAAUGCUUUUUCUCACUCCCAGUGACUAUACUGCCAGAUAUUGGGCAGUACGGCAUGGUUCCAUUUGGGUUGAACCAGCAUGGACCUGUUCAACUCAUAUAUCAACCGAACCUCAAUACUGUAUUAGUACCCUAUCAGUAUGGUAUGGUUGGUACAGCAUGGUAUGGAUCAGUAUGGCAGACACUAGUGACUCAUGUGCAGAAAAACCAACUAACAUGUGCACAUUCACAUGUACAAAUAUAUCAUGUCAAUGUAACCCAAAUAAUAAAAACAUAACAAAAUUUAUUUGCAUUUCGUGUGGAAAAGAUGAGCAUAGCUAGGAAAAUGGUCAUAUUUCAGUUUCAUUUCAUGCAAACCACCUUCCCUUGGUCCCUUCCUACUAGCCAAAGUACAAGCACACAGAUAAAAAGUCAAGCAGAAAGAAAUACUCCAAAUACCUUACAUGAAUGACCAUGAGAAAAAUAAUAAUUCAACAGUAUGAGGAGCACUUUAAGCAUUUUUCUUUAAAAAAAGAAAAAGAAAAAGAAAAAAGACUUAGCACAAUGACAGUAGUUCUUAUAAGCAUAAACCAGAUGUCAAAAAGAUCUCACCCCAUAACCAAUGAUGAAGACCUCAAAAGGUGACAACUGCCUCCACAAGCCACUACACAACAUAACAAACAAAUAGGUCUUCAACUCAGCCUCAAUAUGUGAUAUAUCAAACCAAUCACUGAUUCAAGCUUGUGUGUAGGUGACUCACCUAAUUGCGAAUGCAUUGUAGUAGAAAAAGUGUGUUACUGUUUCCAUAAGGAGAAGGCUAAGAAUCCAUCUGAGCCCAUACCAAGCUAUUUGUCCAACUGAAUAAUUUUUUUGAGGUGCAUCUAACUGCAAGAUUUCUAGCAUGUGAAUCAUAGACAAAAAAUAAAGAGGUACACUGCUUUCUAUUGGAAAGGAAUACAAUAGCUUAAUAAGAAUGUAUCUUUCCCAGCAAAGGAAUGGUUGGUUUAGUUUGUCUGUAGCAAAAUUUUAUCUUCAACAAUAUCAGGAUGUCUUUAUCAAAAAAAACCCAAACAAAAACAAAAGAAAUCAGGACAUCUGAUCAAAUAAAAUAUUUAUGACUAAAAUCGCUGACGAACAAAGCAUUGCAUUUUUAAUUUCAAAUACUUUGAAGAAAGCUUCAGCUACUACAGCAUUAGUUAAGCAAAUGUGAUACUGACCUGUGUUGCAAAUGCAUUGAAGCUUACAAUGGGUCCAGCUAUAUAAAGUGGUGCAUAUGUCAGAUAGCAUACAUACAUAUUGAAUGAAUAUUUAUCAUUCUGCAUGCUUCUUUCCUGCCAAACAUAAAAAGAAAGAUAAAGGCUGCUACACCUCCACAACCAAAGUGGUUUAGUCAGAAAGUAAAUAAAUACAUACCAGAUGAACAGACUGCAAGACCCACUUAAAUAAACAACAAAAUCAAUACGCAAGAAGUUUAAUACUGUGAAUUUCCAUGAUGAUGAAAUCGGCAAAUGCUAUCUACAAUAAAACAAAGAUAUCAAAUAACUUUCUUGUUUUUAUUUUUCUUAAUUUUUCUUUUUUCCUUUUUCCGACUUUUUUGCCAGAACCCUGAAACUCAGAGAAACUGACAAGGCCAUUAAAACAAAAGAUCUACUAAAUGGACCGAAAGUGAAACCAAGUUUUAAAACCUUGGUCAAGGAAAAUGACUUCUUCAUGCUUUUAAUUUCCUAUGUUGAAUAAUAAUUUUUUAUAAUGUCUCUUUUAAAAAAAAUAAAAAGAACACUAAUCGGCAAAUGUUUCAGAAGUAACAAAUUAUUAGCUGGAAGUGGUGUAGAGAACCAUCCAAAUACCUGUAAAACAUGGUAGCAUGUCCUUCCAGAAGAACAAAAAUGGCAGCGUAGCAUAUGUUUCUGCAUCCACAAGGCAACAGAUACUAUAUUUAACCAUUAAAUAAAAGAAACUAUGUUUGAGCUGAAUUUUAAAUACAUUUUAAUAUCAAUAUGCACCAAGAUUAUUAACACGUACUUUCAAAAACAUAAAAUUCUUCAAAAAUGAUAUUAGAGUUAGAAUAGCUUAAAUAAGCAUGAUGAGAUUUUUCAUUAAUGUAUCAUGAAAAAAAAUGGAAACAAAAAGGGACAAGCUGCAAAAGAAAGGUAUCCAUUCAGCAAUGCCUUAUCGCAAAUACAUAAAUAUAUAGGAAAUAUCUCCAAUAAAGUGCAAGACUCGACAUAGGAGGACAUGCUAAAAUUGCAAUUAUAGAUAUUUCCUGCCUUCUUGAAUGCCACUAGUGACAUAUAGGAUUAUGACAUUUGACAUCAGGGUUUACUGUGACAAUUCAGAUGGUACCAUAUCAUGCAACAUAUUCUGGCAUCUGUCCAUAACAGAACUCCCCUAACCCAAAUCACAACUGAACUACGCACCCCCCCCACCACCACACCCCCAACCCAAAACAAGGAAAAUAAAUGAAUAAAUAAAACUGUAUGUCAUCUAUAAUAUUUGAUAUGAUGCAAUUCCUUUUGUUCUGAAAUCACCCAAAAUCUGAUCUGUUUGUCCCAAGUGCAGUUUUCUUCCACAGAUCCACAUUUAAUGACUCAAACCCUACCAUACAAUCCUAAGUAUCACCUAGAAUCAUAUUAUAUUAGCAAAUGCAACGGUCAUCCAUGUUAUAAACUAUAUUGCGAUUUAGAGAAUGAUGAGGGUGCUUAAAAAGGGAACAAAAUAUUCAUGAACUAAUGCAUUCUUUGUUGAAGAUAGUCAAAUCAAACUUCAAACUAGCAGCAGGCAAACUUUCAUAUUCCCUAUAGGCUGCCCUCCACCUUCAGAUAUAGAAUUUGGAGAGAGACUACUUGACAAGAGGAUUGGCUGAUGAAUCAAUGAGGUAAGCUGGUUUCUGUAGGUCUAGGUUACUUUUUCCUAAUAUUAAUGCUGAAUCAAUGAGGUAAGAUGGUUUCUGUAGGUCUAGGUUUCUUUUUCCUAAUAUUAAUGCCUUACUUUCUUCUGAAAAAGCUAAUAGGUUUUGAUCGAAAGAACACCUUAAUCAAUUCUAAUUCUGAGGAAUUCCAAAUUUCUUAAUCAAAAACCAGUAAAUCAGAGAACAGUUUGAGGAAAACUAAUCCAGUUAGGUUGAUUUUUUGUUCUAUAGCCAGAUAAAGAGAAAACAUACCCAUGCCCACUAUCAUCCCAGAAAUAAAUAAUUCAUUAUUAAAAUUAAUUAUUCAAAAAAUAAUUAUAAAAAUGAUUUCUACACAAUAUCCCAGGGAUGUCUUAGUUCAUUAGUUAUUGUUUAUCCAAUGGCCUAUUAACAUCCAUAACAAGCUAAGUUCAUUCAUAAUGAACUGUAGAAUGCAAAACAAAGCUUGAGCUAAAGCUACCUUCUGGAGAAUAAUUUAUUUAUUAUACCAUUUUGAGGAAAGGGAAUAUUAUAAUUUUGAAAUAAAAAGAUGUGACCAAACCCAAUAUAAGGCAACAUCAACAAACAAACACUACCAUGUAAAAAUGCAUCAUAAUUUUAAUGAUUAUGCUUUUCUAGUAGUAUUUAAAUCAUUAACAAGUGUGAAGAUUGCCAUGGACUGAAGCUAUUCUAUGUGAAGAUUGUAAUGGACUGAAGUUAUUCUAACUUUGAUAUUCUUCUGUUUUUAUACAUGAACUUUUGGGAUUGAUGUGAGUAUGACAGUUAGAACCUCUUUUGGAUAAACAUCAAAAUCCAGCAUUCUUUGCUCUUUAUCUAAACUCCCUCUCAAGUUUAAAGUAACCUCAGAAUGUUGCUUCUCAACAGAAUGCUUUAAGUCUUUAACCGAACAGGUCAACUUCGUUCCUUUUGGAAAGCUUCAAUGAGGCCACAGAUUGGUAUUUUUUCUCUCUGGAAAUCAAAUAAUAACAAAAUUCCUACUGCACUACUUUUAUGGAGUGUAAUGCAAGUUGCCAAAGGUGUUAGCUUGCUGAUGAACAUCCCAAGCAUCUCUUUUUCAAGUGUCCAAAGGCAGCUUAAGUAUGGAAAGAAACUAAGAUUUAGGGUACAUAGAUAUGCUCACGGGAUUGUUUUAGAUUUUUUUUUUUUCCGCGAGACAGGAUUCACUAAACUGGUGGCAGAAGACAAUCAAGUGUGGGGAAUGGUCUGUGGGAGCUUUGAAAGAAUAGAAAUGACUAAUUAUUCCAAGGUAUAAGAAUGAGAGGAAGAAGGUGUUCCUAACCCAUAAGAUAAUCUUCAUUGCAGAGUAUAUCUUAAUACAAAUGGAGGGCAAUAUUUGUUCCAAAACAUAGACUCACAGAAGCAUUUUAUUGACAUCUGUCAGACCCUGCUUGGGCAAAGCUGAAUUCUGAUGGCUCCAAAUAUCAAGAUAUCAUAUAGCAAGCUUUAGGAGGGUUCUUAUAGAUUAUUCCUGUAAGCCAAUUUGAGCAAUCGCAAAUUGAUAUUUUAUAAUACAAAUAUUCAGUUUGCAAAGGUUGACAAUAGCAAACAAAAAAGAGUGAAAAAGAUUUGGGUUGAAUAAGAUGUUUUAAGUAAAGCUAAUUAUUUCUUGGGAAAAACAGUUUGUCAGCUGAUGAGGAAAUUCUCUUGCAAGAAGUUCAUUAUCUAUUUAUGCAGUUUCAGGAACACUACAUCUCGUAUGUACAUAGGGAAGCUAAUGGUAGGAGAUUGACUUGUGAGGGAAGGACAUGAAAGUAGAAAAUAGUAUGGAAGCAUGACAAACACUAGCACACAGCAGGUAUCAUGCCAGAGCCACAUGCCCCUACCAGAAUAGUAAUAUAAGGCUGUCAUGUGUGCCAAUUGGCACUUAAAUUCAUGAUUUUAGAACACAGCCAUCGUGGACAAUUAAGGAGUUGGGGGAAUGGGGUGCAUUAGGACUUAGGAGAUAUCUUCAUGCCAGACAUGCAUAGAUCAACAAUAGCUGGUGUCUUCUAUAACUCUUAGAGUGUCUACACAUUCAUCAACCUCAUAUGGAACCACAUUAAGAACGAUGUUAAUGCUAAACAUGUUACUUUUCUAGUCAUGCAACAUGGCCAAGUGAAUUUUGAGAGCCUCUCCAUGUCAAGAUAUUGCUUCAAGAUAUGGAUGACAUUGUAUCUUGCAAGAAAUAUUGGUCAAUGUCUUGAUGUAGUCUGAAGGUGCUAGGAGAACGUUCUAGUCAUGCAACAUAGCCAAGUGAUUUGAGACAAAGAAAAAGCACAAGUUCAUCAUUCCAAUAUGUUGCUUCAUCAUGUGGAUAAGUUCAUUUAUCACAAGCAACAUUGGUUAAUGAGUCUGGGAGUCCCGUUUUAAUUCUCCAAAUACCAUAGUUGCUAGCGCAAGACAGACAUUCUUGAAACCGGAUAUCUUCACCAUUACAAGCAUGGGAUCUACCAGUAUGCUGCUAAAGGAAUUAUGUAGUUUCUAUUUAAUAUUCUUAGUUAUAUUUUACAAGUUCUAAACCAUGAAAAAUAUCUUUAUAUUGUGGAACAGGAGUGUGUUUAGACUUUAGACUACAUUAGGUAUCAAUAUUAGCUCAAAAAACUUAAGCAGUCUCAUUUGACCGUUGAAAACAUAUAUGACCAUAUAUCAUCACAAUGCAAUCAGUAAUAAUAUAGGAUUGAAGAUCAAAUGCUUUGUCGGUGUAUCAUAGAAUGUUAUACAAUGCAUUAUUUGGCAGUCUCAUAUAUCAUUCAAUGCCCGAACUUCACAAGAUACUAAUCCAUGUUAAGUACCAUUUUGAGGAAUCUGCAAUUUGAAUUUGCUGAUUUGAAUAGGAAUUACCAUACAAGUAAACUGUGGAAUUAAAGAGGAGAGAGUACUAUGAGAGAAGAAGGAAAGAAAAGGAAACAAGUGAUAGUUGGGAGCACUUGUUCUAGGUGGUUGCUUUAAAGAUCAUGCUGCUCUCUGGCAUUUGUUCGAAUGGGUGGUGGACUAGAGGAGAGGUAGUCGGGAUGGAGACGGAGAUGGGAGCUAUGAGCGGUGGCGGCUGAUCUUCUUCUGACUCCAGCGAGCACAGCUGGUCAUGGGCUCAGGUGGCCCAAGGCCCCCCCGACAACCCCAAUGGACAUCGCAUAGGAUAAUGGAGGAGGAGACGGAGAAGCUCCAGCACUACACCAAAGUGUUGGAGUUCUCGGAGAUAGAGAUACCAAAAUCUAGGCAAAAAUGGGAAGACAUUUCCAUCGUCACCCAGAUCCUGGGUCGUUGGGUUCCGGUUGAGUGGAUAGCAAAGGAUUUUAAGAAAAGGGAAAAACUGGAUUAUGAGAUUAAAGGUUGAGGCCUUCUCUUUGGUAGAAGAUCACCAAAUGUUCCACUUCCAGACGGCUGCCAACCGGGAUGCAGAGAUCAAUGGAGGAUCGUGGUUUGUGGCUGGCUAACUAUUGGCGAUAGAACCUUGGGUCCUAUACUUUGUUCUGGGUAUGGAUCUAGUCUGACGAACAGUGGUCUAGUUGAGACUCCCCAAGCUACUGAUAGACUAUUAAAAAAUGAAGAAUAUUUUGGGCAUUGUGGCUGAGACAGGGGAUCCAAUCUCGAUGGAUGACUUCACCGAUCUGCUAAGGAAGAUGGGUUAUGCCUGGAUCCAGGUGGCCAGUGACUUGUUGGCGCCGUUCAACCAAACAACUUCAUCAAGGUCAACAACGGUGGUCGGAACCAAGAUUCCCCCUCACUGAUGGUGAUGGAGGCUAUAGGAGGUGCCAGAACAAAGAACCCCGACACCAGAAUCAGGUGGAGAGGCCACGACUGGGGUCAUGGUUGGUGACCUCAGAGCUCUGACAGUCGAGGGUUUCUAGAAUUGGGACAAAAGGAAAGAAGCUAAGUCAAACUCGGACUUAUCGGGUCCCAACUCAUCCUCCUCUAGACCGAGUUCUCCUUAGUAGCAGCUAAGUUCCCCUGAAUCACUGCCUGACUCAGAUGGGUGGCAAAAGCCAACAAAAGUGGCCCAUCGACGAUCACCAGAUAAGCAGCAGGGAGGGCUCAAGUCAAGGUCUUCGACGCCAAGCAAGCCUGACUCACUAAUUGGGUCCUCAUUCUAUGUUCUCUUGGAUCUGGGCCUGGGCAAUGAUGCGAUCAAGGUGGGCCAGGUGGUGGGCCUAGUGAGCCACAAUGUCUACAUAGGCGAGAACGUUGGAGCUAAGGCGAAGCAAGCUCGAAGCCCAAGAGCGGCCCAAACCCAACCUACAAUGCAACGGACCGAGGCUAGCCCAACUUCUGAUCCAUCUACUGUUGGGCCGACGAAGUCCCAACGAGCCCUAGCACUACAUCCUCCCUCUACAUCAGGGCUCCAUCAAAAAAUUGAGAUAUUUCGGAAGGCCCUAGCUCCCAACCAUCACUGCCAAAAAAGGUUCGAGUAGAGUGUCAGGACUGGCUUGUUACUAGAUGGGCGAAGGAGAUGCUAGCAACCACCUUGCAGUCGCCCUCCUCAUCACUGACAGCCAUGGGUACCCUAUCUUCCAAAUCCAAAGGGGAUAGGGGCUGCUUAUCCAAGGGGCUUACUAAUGGGUGCCCUAUCCCACCUCCCUCGGCCGCAUAAGGAGUGCAGCGGCCGGCGGGGACCUCAUCACCAUCCACAACUCGAUGCCCUCUGCCAUCUGAUGGUUCGGCUAAGGAGGAUGGGCACCCUAAUGUCAAUGGGCCGAAUUGCCAAAUAGAAGACUUGCACAAGGCUAUGGUAAACCAGCUAAGGGUAGUUUUGAAUGAGGCUGGCAGUGGCUCACGUGAUGAUAAGGAUAUGGGGAAAGGGAUGCAACUGGUGCUGUGGUGACUGCUCGGAGGAGACGACACCUCCAAGCCCUAUCGAUAUUCACCAAUGAAGAUUCUGAUAUGGAAUAGUCGGAAGGUUGGCAAGCCUUAUCUUGGAAACCCAUCUAUUAGGUAGGAGUUUAGUUCAUGCAAGACGACAAUUUCAAGAGUCCUGGGCUUUUAUGCAAUCGAGUCAGUUUACAUUGUGGUGUUAUUGUUGUAUGGAGAAGCAGGGCAGCCAUAGUGAAUGUCCUUCACAGAUGCAAUCAACAAGUUGUCAUUGUUGUUUCUAGAAUCAAUGAGAAUCAUUGGCCUUUGAUUGGUGCCUAUGCUAGCACUGAGUACAGACAACGAAGGGUAUUGUGGGAUGAGGCUUGAUUAAUCAAUCAGGGCAUUCCUUCCCUUGUGGCUAGCAACUUUAACUGUAUUGAUGGCCCCUGAGAGAAGAGGCGAGGUAGGCCCUUCUCUAACAAUAUUGAGACCAGAGAGUUUCGGGACUUCAUAGUGAGGAAUGGGUUGGUGGACCUUGGUUUCAUUGGGUCCAGAUACACUUGGUACAACAACCGUCUGGACAGGGCCAGAUUCUGGGAGCAAAUUGACAGGGCCUUCACCACAACUAGCUGGAUCCAGCAUUUCCCCAGUUACCAAGUGCGUCACCUUUCGAGGAUCAUGUCUGAUCACUGCUCGAUCCUAAUCUCCACUAACUCCACUAUCUCCUACUGGUGUCCAUUCCAAUUUGAGAAGUUCUGCCUUAUCCUCAAUAUUGGGAUAUAGUAUGUGAGGCCUAGAGGCUGUCGGUUCACAAUAACACCAUGUAUCAGGCCAUGCAUAAACUAGAGCUGACAAAAUGCAAGUUGCGGUGGCUGAACCAAGUAGAGGUUGAUAAUAUCUUUAAGAGACUAGAGGAGACUGAGACCUUGAUCACUGAGCUCCAGUUAAGAGAGGACAAAGAGGGCAGACUCACAGAGGAUGACUUGACUGAUCUCAGAAGGAAACUCUCCUUGCACCACUCAUCGCUACGACAGUAAAAGAUUAUGAUGAUAGAAGUCGAGGAUCCAAUGGAUUAGCAAGGGGACAGGAAUACAAGAUUAUUUCACCAGUCAACCAUCAUCAGGAGGCACAGGAACCAGAUCCAGACUAUGAGGGAUGUAGAGGGCCACUAGGUUGAUGGUGAUGAGGCUAGGUAGGAGAUUCUGAGUUUCUUCAGAUCGAGAUGGAUGGUCAGAUUAAGGGGUGAUAGUUCUUUUACUCCCCCUACCCUGACCAGUCGGAUCUUGGCUCAAGAGAACCUCUUCCUGAUUGGAGCAGUGUCAACUGACAAGGUUCGAGAAGCGAUCUGGUCUAUGGCAAAAGAAUAAAGAGCUCAAUCCGGAUGGGUUCCCUCCUCUCUUCUUCAGGCAAUACUGGGCUAUUAUGUGAGAUGAGGUCGUGGAGGCCAUUUAGCAAUAGUUUGUUACUGGAUCCAUGCCUGCACCUAGAAGAAGACCUUUAUUACGCUGAUUCAAAAAUGGCAAGAUGUCUUAGAGCCGGCUCAUUACAGACCGAUUGGCCUGUGCACUACAUUAUACAAGGUUUGUGCUAGAAUCAUGGUGGGUCGAAUGAAGUUUGUUCUCCCUCGAUUAAUUAAUCCAGAGCAUAGAGCCUUUGUUGGUGGCUGUAGCAUCUCCAACAAUAUGCUAAUCACCAAGAGUUCAUGGAUGACUCGAGGAAAGCCCCAACCCCACAGUGUCUCAUGGCCAUCAAGCUAGAUAUGGAGAAAGCUUAUGAUUGUAUAUGCUAGGAGUUCCUCUGGCAUGCCUUGGAAAGUUUUGGAUUUCAUGGUCAGUGGAAUAGCUAGAUUAUGGAGUGUGUCUGUACACCAUCCUUUGCUUCUUAAUCAACGACACCUCAAUGGAGUUCUUCCAAUCUACCGUUGGUUUGGAUCAAGUUUGUUCCUUGUCCCCUUAUCUAUUUAUUAUUUGUACUGAUGCCCUUUCCCGAGCUUUGGCGGUGGCAACUCUUAGGCAAACCUUAGACGGGGUGCCUACCCCUAGAGACUAGCCAAACUCGCAUCUACCCUUUGCAGAUGAUUGUGUUCUGGUGGGCUGGUCAUUUGUCCGAAAUGCUACCAUUUUCAAAAAGAUUUUGGAGUACUAUGUAGCCUAAGAGCAAAAGAUAAACCUCCUAACAUCAGUAGUUUGCUUCAAUCCAAAGACCAAGGCUCAACAGAAGCAAGCUAUCCGGGACCUACUAGUUGUGAUGAAGCAUAGCAAAGUCUGGCACUACUUGGGUGUGCCCAUAAUCAGGAGGAGACUAAGAAGGGCUAAGCAUGUUGGUGUGGAUAUGUCAAUCUGAGAGCAACUUGAGGGCUGAUAAGCCAGAUCUUUAUCCAUAAUAGGUAGGUUGACACUCGUCAAAUCAGACCUCAACUCCAUUUUGGUUUAUCUGCUAUCCAAAUACCAUCCUGCCAUGGACCUCCCUUGUCAAGAUCGAUCAGCUGUUCUGCAACUUCCUAUGGGGAUCGCACCAAGGCAAUGGAGGGGUGCACCUCCUGGCCUAGGACGUCGUGUAUCAGCCAAUUGCUGAUGCAGGGCUUGGUUUAUAGUCUAUGCUGGAUGCUGGUCAGAAAUGAGGCCCUAAUUGCCCAACAUGCUGUCAGGUUCCUUCUUCAGCCCGAUAGUCUCUGGUGCUCUAUGAUGAGGGCCAAGUAUGGCUCCUGGAUCUUGGAUACUGACAUUACGGUGAGUCGAAAUAGCUUCAUGUGGAAGGAGAUCUGAACUCGAGCUCGGGAUGUCAUGCCUUACACUAAAUGGAUGAUCGAAGAUGGGCAAAUAGUGAAUCUAAUUCGUGAUCCCUGGCUUGCAAACCUCCCACUCAACAGGUGACCGACUUUUGUUAGCUCCGAGAUUGAGGACACAAUGCAGGUGUGUGAUCUCUUUCGACCUAGAGGGAGGGGUUGGGACGCUGACUUGGAGACUAGUUUGUUUGAAGAUCAGCUAUCGGAGAGGGUGUUAUCCCAAGCUAUCCCCAUCCAUAGGGGCAAAGAUGUCAAGGUGUGGAGGUCUUCCUACUCCUUGAGGCCGAUUGCCAGGGAUCUCUUCGACAAGUAUAGGGGGGAGCCAACUAAGAGACUAGAUGCAUCAUAGAUCUAAAGACUCAGGGUACAUCCUAAAGUCAACCUCUUUGUUAAAAAGGUCGUCUGGAGUCGCCUUUUGAUCAGGGCUGUGCUAAGUGCUCGUGGGAUGGACCUCUCACUUGCCUGUCCUUGCUAUGGUCCGAAGGAGAAGGCGACAAAGCACAUUCCCUUUUGUUGCCCAAGAGUGAGACAAGUUUGCGCGGUCCAAUUUCUACCUGACGAUUGCCCACUCCAAACAACCUGCCUAGGAUCUUCUUAAGAUACUUUGACGAAGCAUAGAGACUGAGACUUCCAGACUAAUGGAUAUCCAGGCGGCUUAUACUACAUUUCACAUCUAGUUGGCCCGGAACAAUGGAGUCUUCAAGGCGAGCUGGCAAUCGGCUAUCAGGCUAUCAAGAUUGCGCACUCGUUGCCCAAUGGUUUGACUUGGAUAACUCGGAACACCUGGGACUCUCCAUCUGCUCUAGCAUCACCUCAACAGGUAUUCAUCACCUAAGAGUCCCCACCCACGAAUUUCUUCCAGGUUAACUUUGACGUUAGCGUGAUGGGCAAGAGUGGAGAAGCAAGAUUUGUGAUCCGAGGCCUAGACUCCAGACCAUGGUGGCAAAAAGGAGCCACCUCUUUGAUAUUACUGUCUAUGGUGCUAAGUUCAAGUAGCCGGAUAAGUAUUUCAUAUGCAAGGCAAAGACCAAGGACUACUCACUUGAUCGUCGAGGAGGACUUUGCUAUAGUAGUGGCCCAGAUGCAGUCAUGCAGAUGCACACCAGUGGCUGCCACACACUCACUCCUGCAGGACAUUUGGAGACUGAUGGCGGAGUGUGCCUCUGUAGUCAUCAGGCAUGUGUACUAAGAGGCGAACAGUGCUGCCGACUAGGUGGCUACAUUCAUUGCCGAGCACUCGGAGCAGUCUUUUGGGCCGAUGUUGCACUGUACCUAUGGCACUGGGACAUUCUAUUUUCCAACUUUUUUGGUUGAAUUCAUACUAGACAUGUAUGAGUGCUCCACCUUACCGAAAAAACAAAGAGAGAGAGAGAGACAGAGAAGAGAGUGACAGAGAGGAGUAGAAAAGGAGGGUACAACAUAAUUUGCUGCUUUGCUUUGUCAUUCCUGUUAUUUAUCAUAAACAGAACAGUGAAUAGCAGGAACAAGCCCAAGCUACCCUUACGCACAUACCUCCUAUUUAUAUAUUAAUGCAGAAAUAGGAUAUCUCUGCGUUAAGUGCUCAAAAAUGAAAUAGAAAAUUAUAAUUCUUUUCUUUUCCCCCUCAAACUGGAAAACAAACAAUUUCCAUCCCUACCUUGAAAUAGAUAAACUAAUGUUGAGACCAUCCAAAAGCUUUCUUGAUUACUCUGCUAAUUGCCAAACAAUUAUCAUUUAUUCAGAUAAGGUAUGGUUAUCUUGGUAAGGAAUUAUCAGCUAAUAUAACAAAUGACAUCAAUAUGCUUCCAAACUACAUAUUUAGGUAACAAAUCACAAGCUAUCUUCGUUUUAUCCCUGAAAAUGAAACCUGCUUCUGUUUCAUUGUCUUCAGCCACAUAAAUUCACAUGUUAUACAAGUCAUUGCACUUGCCAUAGCUUUUACACCGUGUUAAGCAACAUCAGUUCCUUUUUCACUCCACUCCUAGGUUGCAAUACUUAAAUCUCUUAUAAGAAAGAGUAAGUCAAGUUAUUCAACGGAUAUGUGGGCUUAUGAAUAAAGUCCAUCAUGGUAAUUUAAGGAAAUAGGAAAUACGAAAUAUAGGAACAAACUUCAAUUUAACCAAUAACAAAUAAAUGCAGAUGAGGAAUACAUAAACAAGAUAUGUUCUAAAACAAACAUGUUCAUUAAGCAGACAAAACAUAUAAGGAAAUGCAGCCUAACAAGAAUUCCAUAGCAUGUAAUUAUCAUAUAACACUCUUUUAAAUUAUGUAUUGUUCUAUAAAUCCAACAUAUAAGCAAAUUUAAAUUAAAUAAGAAAGAUAAACAUUACCUUUUGAUCAAAGUGAGUAAGUUUAUUGGACCAAUGGUAAUCACAUCCAUAGCUGAUCAUACGCAAUACAACUGUUAAACAAACCAGAAGAAGAAACUUGAACCCGAUUACUUCAAAGAAAAUUUAUAGUCAACAAGGACAAGUAAAGCAAAUUAUAACUAUGUAAUUACUCAAUGUAAAAAACCAGAUACAAGUAAUGAGUGUUUUUACAUAAAUGCAUCAAAAUUAUUGGAAGCUGAGCUCUUCAUUUGCAACAAUGAAUAAUAAUUAGACUGAUUUGUAGCAAAUUUAAUUGUGCAUGUACUUGGAACCAAGGUUCACGGACUCGGUACCGGAAUCCAUGCCGGUUGCCGAUCAGUACGGUACGAUAUGGUACCAAACCAUACCAUAUCGAACCAUACCGACAAUAAAAAAAUCCCACCCAAUGGCCAAAAAAAAAAAAUCAAGCUGAACAGGACCGAACCGAUACCGUACCGGACCAAACCGCUCAAUAUCGGAUGGUUCGGGAUGAUACCGUAUCGAACCGAUCGAUUCGAUCUAGUUCAGGCCAUUUUCCAAAAAACUAGCUUGAACCGAACCAAUUCCCCACCAGUACGGUACGAUAAGGGAUAUACCGGCCGGUUCAGGCCGAUACGAAAUACCAUACGUAGAACAUUUUUAAGCAAAUCAACAUAUGAUUAAAUGUAGGCUUCAUCAAACAAUAAAUUAGUUUAAUAAAUGCAUAGGGAUUACAAAAAGGGAAAACAGAUUUGAGUAAAAACAACUAAAUGAAUUACAUUUUGUGAGUCCAAUAAGCCCAUCUUACAUUCUUAUAGGGAGAUAUUGACAAAAGUAAUUUGAGUUAAAUAGGUAAAAUGCAUGUACAGCCUACAUAAAGAAAAUGAUUUGGUGCUUAAUUAAGAUUACUUCACAAUAGAAACUGCAGCUGCCAGCUGGGCUGGUAAAAUAAGAUAUGUGCUAGAUCCCAAGCAACAUAAAGGGCAAGUGUAAUAGCAUCAACUUAAAACCAAUGUUUUAAGAGGAUGGAGCUGAUUUAAAAAUGACCGAAAACAAAUUUAAUGGCUAUCAAUCUAGUGUUCAACUGCUAGCUGAAGAAUAGAACUAGUAUUUAUAAUGCAGGCCUCGUUUUUUAGAUAUAUGCGUGAUCAUUCUACAACAAUGAAGAAAAAAUCAACAUCAAAAGAAAUUAAUGAUCGUAAAGAAGGUAAAAACUUAAAAAUUCAUACCUAGGUUAAAGCAUAUAUGCCACCUAAAAGUGCCUCGAUAGUUGUCCAAGAAUGCCAAGCAUCCACUGUUUACAUCAACCAAACAUCAUAAUGUUAAAACUAAUAACUGAUAAAAAAAGGAAUUUAAAUAAAUGUUAUAAUUACAUAAAUUUGACCAUCAAAUAACUAACCCAAACAAGGAGAAUGAAUAGCCUUCAUAGACACGGUUUAGUAUAAGAAAAGUUAUAUUGAAGAUCCAAAGCAUGCUCAUGUAGUAUGGGGAACGUGCAAAAGUCUGCAGAAAGAAAAAAGAAUACUGCAUAAUGGUGAAGAAAUUUACUUGAAGGAUUGGCAAAGAUUAGAAUUCUUCUAAUUAAACAUAAUAUUUUUAUUUGCUAACAACGUUUAACCCAUUAAUUUUUAAACAUGGUAAAUAAAAGUGAUAUCAAAACCUACAUGUUGAACAAAAGAAACAAGAAAAGGACUUUCAAAUGUCCAUAAUCUACUCUUGGAUUUCUGUUGGAGCUGAUUUUACAGUUCACAUCAUCUCUGCAAGUAAUUAUAGGGGUUUCGAGGAAAGAAAGGUCCUCAAGAACAUGAUAGCAGCCUAUAUGAUUUAUUGCACUACAAUCCUAGAAUAUAUCUGUUCUGACCUUUCAUUUAAACCCAUAUGAAUUCAUGAUGCUGGGCAAUGAAAGAUAACUCCAUCCGUAACAGGGAAUGACAAUUGAAUUAAAGAAAGUACAAGUGGAAUUAUCUUUAAGGAGAAAAAAAUAUAAUUCUACAAGGGAUAAAGAGAUCUCUUUCUCGUAUUUCUUGAAGUAAUGAUUAAACAUCACUAUAUGCCCUCAAGCAACGCUUUGAUGGAAAAGUAUGACCGGAGUCUUACACCCACCACAUUAAUGGAGAAGCACCAUCUUGAUAAAAAAGGACAGUCCUCGCUCCACAUUUCAAAGCUAAAUUCAUGGUGCAUACUUUCUAUGAUAAAGUUACAAAACUGAUCAAGAUCUGAAGCAAUCUAAAAUAUUGACCCAAAAAGCAAUCUAAACAGAUUAUAACCUCAAAAAAGCAAGAAAACAAACAAGUUUGUCCUAAUCUCACAUGCUACUUAAAACCUGAAAUGCUGAAACUAAUUCACAACAAGUUAACUAAGUGCAAGGAAUCAAAAACAGUGAUGUCAUCGGGCUACCAAAAAAUAUGUAUGCAGGUUUGCAGAUCUCAAAUCAAGACAUCUAAGUCUAGCUGUAAUACAAUUGAUAAACUUUUAAAACUAAUUCUAAUUCUAAUCAUAUCAAAACUCCUUAACUAAAAGAAAAAUAACUUCAGACAUAAUUCUCAACCAAGAAUCACCUACCCAACAAUAGAGGAAGUAUGAAAAUAAAUCCAAAAAGAAUUGCUUGAUACGCAUGCACCUUGCCUCUACAAAACCAUGCUCCUAGCUUAGCAACAAGGGCCUAAACCAAGAAUCACCGACUUGGAACCAAACCCCAUGUCGGUCGGCCAGCAAUAUGAGUCGGUACGCCCCCGCACCAGAUCAUAUCGGGCCAAACUGACAUGAAAAUGGGGGAUGAAGCGGGGAGGAAAAGAGAGAAAAAGAGAGAAGGGGAGGGAGGAGAGAGAAAAAGAAUGGAUGGCUAGCAGAGAUGCCUGUAGUAGCCACCGGUGGCCCACCGAGGCUAUCGAAGAACCGCCGAGACUCUGGAUCUCCGCGGUCCUCCGCGAGAGAAACUAAGAAGAAAGAGAUGGGGGAAGGGAGAGGAGAGAAGGGAGGAGAAGGCGGUGGAGAGGCCACCAUGACCACCGGGCGUUCCAAAACCCCCUCACAGCCUCCAUAGGUUCGAAACAGGGAUGGAUAUUUUUAAAAAUCCGACACAGUGAAGCCGACAAUACUAUAUGUCUGGUUUUUAAAAAAACUUGAUGAAACAGGGGCGAAGCCCCUAUUUUGAAUCUACGAUGGCCACGGGGGGUUUUGGGCCGUCCGAUAGCCACGAUAGUCGCCCGACGGCCUCCCUGUCGCCUUCUCCCUCCUCUCCCCUCCCUUCCCCCCUCUCUCUCUCCUCAGUUUCUCUCAUGGAGAUCCGGAGUCUCGACGGCCUCGGCCAGGUCUCCAUGGUCCUCCACAGGCCAUCGUUGGCCUUCCUCUCUCCUUGCCUCCCCUCUCUCUCUCUCUCUUCCUCUCUUCUCCUUCUAUUUUGUUUUCACCAGCGUUUCGAAUCGAACAUCCGAACCGCACCAAUUAGCUGCAGGUACAGUUCCGCACGCCCCAAACUAUCCGUUUCGAGCCAGUUCGGCAAACCAUAGCCUAAAAAAUCUUAAGAGUCGCCUUACAUAAAUUGUAAAUGGCCUAGACCACUUCCGUGAGUUAAGGACAAUAUAACAAGGACAUCAAGCUCUGAUUCCCUUUCACAUCUCUAUUUCUCUCUCUCUUCUUUCAUGUAUUGCUUCUACAUGUUUCUCCUUUCUUUCCAUCAUUUAAGUGCCUAAAGAUAGUAAUUGAUGUUAUGAAAACAAAAGUAAAGAUAAAUAACACAUAAUCACAUAUUGUUGCACAAGAAUAUGUUAGCUAAUAGAGUUGGACUAAAAUUCAAACUUGCAAAUGAUGUUAAUUGCAUUAGAGAAAACAGCAGAAGAGAUAACAAAAAAAACAUCAUCAAUCAAGUAAAAACCAGAAGUAUUUCAUGAAGAAUUGGUGAAUAGUAGUGAAUUUUGCAUUUACUGAAUAAUAUCUGAAUAAUUGAUUAUAUGGGAAUUAUUUGCCGAGAGCAUAAAUACCAAUGAAGAGAAAAUGUAUAAGUGCAGGACUUUCAAGUAGUUACUUAAAUAAUGUGUUUUCACAUUAUAUUAACAGAUUUUAAUACACAAGCCUUUCAAAUUCCACCAAUAAUCUAGGUCUUGUCUUCCCUAGUAUCCAUCACUCGGGAACCACUAAAGUAGCAUCAAGAGUUCAAGACAUUAAAUAGCUAAACAAAAAACAUCCUUUGUUUUAGUAAGGCAUUCAUAUCACAGUAUAACAAGAAACGGGCGUACAUGGACAGCAAAAUAAGGUACUCAGCAUAACUAGCAUUUGCCUCUAAGACUUUCAAUAAAAGUAAAUCGACAUACUAACUCAUAUUAGUGGACUAUGUUACACAAAUUGAGGGCAUUUCAAUCCUUGCAUACAUAGUUAUUUCACAAUUUUUUAACAAAAAAUAACAUUAAAAAAGAUCAAAUAUUCAGAUUUAACUAUUAUCAAUAUAAAUCAUUACAUUUAUGAGACACUGACAUCAAGCAAAAGCACCGACCUUCACUAUGAAAUAAUUCGCAGAAGCAAUUGAAAGAACAAAUAUAACGCUGCAAUGGUCACAAACUAGUUAGAUAAGAAUCUGUAGAAUCACAUAAUACUAUCAAACUAGAAAUCUCAUGAUCAAGAUACAUACCAAGCUUCAUGAAGAUAUGAUAGAUAACACAAAGAUAGUAUAAUCCAUAUGAAGGACAUUCCUCUCCCUUUUAAGCAAUAAUGAUACCUCAAGAUAUUUGCAACAAAUGUGAAAAAACACAUAACCAAGGUAAGAAUAGGCAAGUUUCCACGGAAGUUUCUCCAUUGUGCAUCAGAAAGAUCCUGCAAAAAAAUAAAUAAAUAAAUAAUAAAGGAAAAGAAAAACCCUUAAAUGGUCAAUGAUAUUCAUUUUUAGCUCAGAGGGCAAAUUCUUUAAGUAUUGACCAAAAGGAUGCAAGAAUUCGAUGUUCAUUUCUACCAAGACCAGAAACAAGGGUAGUAGUAUACAGAAGCUAGUUCGGGGGAAGUGAAAAUUAGCCAAAUAACUCCUGAAAUAAGAAUAUUGUGAAACAGUUGAAAUUAGCCAUCAAAUAGUCAUCUUUACUUAACGCAGUCCUAGUAUAAGUUGUUGGUAGCUAAGAAAUUAUGCACAUCAACAAAAAGGAUGGCUGCGUUAUAGCAACAACAUACCACAUGCAAGGAAAUAGAGGUGCACAGCCCCCCUUUUUUUUUUCAGCCAAAAAAUUUGACAGCAUCAAGGCCCUUUUAGCAAGUAAAUGGAGGAUGGAAAGAAGAAAGUGACAGUAAAAAGGGCCAGCUGUCUUUUUGGCUAAAUCUCAGUCAUUCCAUUCCUCUCGUUGUUGUUCAAUUGCAACAUGGCUCUCUUAUUGCAACCAUUGGAUUUUAGGAGAAGCACUAGCAUCUAGCAAUGUCUUCUAUCAAGGUACAUUAUCUGCAGAAUGAGAGGAUGUAACAUUCAUUUGAUAGAAAAGUAAUGAAAUUUCAAUUGUUUCUCUUCUCUCCACUCUAUCCAGUUAUACUCAUCGCCUGAUAAAAUUCAGCAGUAGGUUCUCACAUUCGCCUCUAGAACAGACAAUCAUUUCACAAAUGUGGAUUUUCUGCACCUCAAACAGGAAUUUUAGAUCACUGCUAAAUUUCACCAAACCCAUUGGAUCUUAGAUGUUAUCAUCAAUCAAUGUCAGAGGACCCCUCUACAUCAGUUGUAUACCAGGGGGAAAUAGAACGAUGAGAAGUAGAGAAAUAGACAUGGGAUCAAGCACUGUAACUGUUUGGAGUGCUUGAGUGCAAUCUCACAGCUUGGGCCAGAGGGUCCAAUAUAUGAUUUACACAAUCUUCUGCUUCAAUGCUUGGUCUUGAAGAAGCUCCAUAGUCCAGACCAUGUAUGAUCAUCUCAAAAUUAAGAAAUUGAUGUUGCAGUUGCUGGUUAACUUACAUCUGUCUUCAACUUCAUGCGGAUCUUAGCAUUGAAUUCAUCUUCAUACUACAAUUCUUAUUUAACAUCAAUAUUGCAUGACAGAAUUGGAGUCUAGCAUGAGGACAUGUACAUAUAGCGGUAUCAGAUAGAACAUGUGGCAAGUACCAGGAAAAUUAUUCUUUGGUUUGUUUCAGACAUGCAUCAGGCAUGCCAAUUUGCUUACAAAUAACUCCCUACCAUAUUUCUCAUUUAGCUUGCACACACACACACACACACACACACACAUAAUCUGAACCCUUUCACUCACCAAAGACUUUCUGAUUGCUCUUCUAGCAUUUCAUGGUCCCCGUGUUCCAACUUAAAAUCCAGACUAGCACAAACAUAAAAGCUCUAAUUUUUUUUUUUUACUAGGCCUUCCUCUAACAAAUCAUCACUGAAUAGUUAUCUUCUGCAGUAACUUGCCCACGACACAGAUUUCACCAUACACAAAUUUCAAUCGUUCUUCAUCUGAUCUGUCAUCUUUCACAGCAAUUUUUUUUUCAUGGCAGCCUUUAUUAUCCCAUUCACGUGAAUAGUCAAAUUUAUACUAAUCAAGACAGACAUCAAAUUCAAAUUUGAAUGAUUAUUACAGUCUUGAAACAAAUCCCUUUGGUCAUUCAAAGGACACCAAUAUCCAAAUUGCUUAAAGUCCCUUCCCCCCUACAGCCAACAAACAGAAGCUUAUCCAUAUGAUAGAGCAGAGACUUCUGGAAUUCCAAAACACCUUGGAUGAAUCAUGAAACAGAAUAGCAACAACAUCUUCAAUGUCAAGGACAAGACUAGCAUAGAGAGGUAAAAAGGAGCAAAGUACAGACAAAACCAAAGAAAUGGCACCAGACCUCUAACCAAGUGUAGAGUACCACAAGAAAUUAAGAUCUCAGUAUAACCAAAUAUGGCUUGGAAAACAGCUACUUAAUCUUCUUUAGGGCUUCUAAGAUAAAUAUAUUAGUAUAUACCACUACAAACCAAGGAAAUCUCCAAAGAACAUUCCCGCAAACAUAACAAGAAACAUAAGCUUAAAAUGAUACAUUUUGACCAUACAACUGUCUAACAUUUGAAAUCAAUUGAUCAAGGAUUUUUACCUAGGUUAAUUUUUUACCAGCCUGUGCAUCAUU
rnacentral:lncRNA from 1 species